rnacentral:lncRNA from 1 species
UGACACCUUCGUCCCCGAACCCCGUGUCGCUCCCCAUGGGUGAGGGGCAGCAAACCUAACCCUAGCCGCCAGGCCUCCGCCACCACCACUUCCUUCUCACCGCCGCCUUGUCGGUGGGAAAGCCCACGUGGCCACCAAGGAUGGCAGCGGAGGGACAUCUUCCAUUGGUUGCUUCUUCUAGUCGUUUGGGUGUAUAUGUUCUAGCUAAGCGUGGUUGCCUUGUGUUGCUUCGAUGGCUUUCCAGCGGUCAUGUUUAGAUGCAAUGCAUGCUGCAUCAGGUCGAUUCAGGUGUGCAUAUGUUUCCUCGCCCCUCCCCCUAGCCUAUUGUCUCGGUCUUUACUUGCUAGAUUUGGUGGAGGUUCUGUCAGAUCUGGUGGGGGUUCUACCAGAUCUGGCGGAGGUUCUGCCAGAUCUGGCAGUUCUUCCUCCUUGUGGCUCGUCUCCGGCCAGUAGUGAGUGGGAUUCCGUCGUUUGAUUUUCCUCCCCGUUGAUUAUGUCGCUGAUUUGGUCAUUAAUUGUCAGCUCGUCUCCCGUCGCUAGUGAAUUUUGGAUUUGGUAAUUGGUCACUUAUGCUUGAAGGCUUCUUGUUUGUGAUGGUGUAGACGCCAUUUUCUGUUUCAUAUCUUCCUCAGAUUGUGCGGCAAUUCCCGAUUCAGGUCAUCGGUCGUGAUGGUUUUCAUCACCGGUACUUUCCUGUGCUCUUGCUCCCCACCAUUUGGUUCUUGUCCACCUCCUCGGCCCCUCUUCUAUGGCUUUGGUAAAGUCCGAUCUUGUAGCAUUGGAAUGGCCAUGGAUUUUGCAAGAAGUGUUGUCUUAUGGUUGGUUGUUGUUUGGUCCUUAUGGUGCUUGUCUACCUAAGUCAUUGUCGCCGUAGGUCAUCGUGGGUGUUUAGGUCGUGUUGUAGUUGACCAGUGUUCAGGCUCUUGCAUCAGAUGUUUAUCGCUUUUCAUGUUGUAUGGCAUACUUUUGCUCUACCUUAGGUUGGGUUUGGUCAUCUCUUGCUUGUGGAUCUUGAUCCUUAGGUUGUUUAGAUUCUUCCUUUUGGGUUGUGCCUCUUUGGUGUUGUAUGGUACGCGCCUUCUUUGCCAAUGUAUCAUUUUCCUCUCAUAAUGAAUUGACAUGUAGCUCUCCUGCUAGUUCAGGAAAAAUGAUUAUAUGACUUAGCUUACUUCAUUUUGGUAUCAAAAUAAAAGAAUCAUAGAAUUCUGCAGUCUUCCAUUAGAAGGAUUCUUAUAAAAUUUUUUCAUGGAACUCCCGGUCUAAAGUCUCAAAUAUGGUAUAAGCAACUCUAGAGGGUGUUAUAGCUUCAACAAGAUCUAUGUGGGCCUUGUUUGGAGCCACUCCUAUAAAUUCAUAUUUGUGUAGAAUUAGGUUGUCUAGUUUCUAACCAUAUAUUGUAAAACACAUUGACACACUCAAUAAAUUUGGAAAUUUUAACCAGGUUUCUCUUCAUAUGGCAUUAUAGCCAUUUGGCCAGGUUCCAUUGCAAAAGAUGUAACGGUACAAAGUUUAACCAAUCAAGUAGUGGCCGACCCAAGAUUGGGGCAAACAAGGGUUAUUGUCAGGUUAUUCAACGAAGCAAGCUACCUCACCUACUCAUCACUAGCGACUGCAAAGCUAUCAAGCAUUGUCAUCGUCCUUGCCCUGGCUAACCUCAAUCUCUGAGUCCGCCAUUAAAACCAAGUAAGUUCUUGCUUCAAACCACACCUUUGACAAGAUUCCCUCUCUAAAAUUACACUCAAUCUAUCACAAUUAUCUUAGCCAAGCCAAAGCAUAGCUAAGAAUUUUCCUGGGCUUAGAUCUUAAAGGUAAAUUCCAAAUUGAGUUUUCUAGAUUGCUAAAAUCAUGCGUUUUUUUAACUAUGUCAGCCUUAAUUAAACAAUAGCCAUGUUUGUUGCAAGAGAUGGGAUUAUAAUGUCAGGAGGAUGUUCACGUCGUUCCUUUGAAAGUUUCUCUUUAUAACUUGCUCGAGCUAGUGAAUGUGCAACAACAUUGCUCUCUCGGGCACAAUGUGCAAUCGUUGCCUUGCCAAAAGAACUCAACAAUGUAGGGAAAUCAUCGAUCACCAUUGACCCCGAAGCACGGCACUCUGAAGGAUCUAGGAUGGCAUGCACAAUCUCCAUUCAGUCAUAUUCUACCACCACCGAGUAAAAUCCUCAACUCAUCUACCAAGCGCAGCCCCUCGAACAACAUGAAAGCCUCCAUCAAGGCAUCCAUGGAGAACUCCUAAUGUAAACAAUAUGCAGUAAUGAACUUCUCAUUUGAGUCCCAAAGCAAAGCUCCCGCCGCACCAGACUCCGGAUGGAAGCUAGCAUCAACAUUCAGUUUUAUAGUUCGUGAAGUCGGUCCAAUCCACUUCAUUUGCCUCGUUGGUUCCUUUACCUAUGUUGCUAACGCAUUCACCACAAUCCCCUUGAUGCUUAAAGCCUAUCGUACAGGGGGCAUUUUUACCUCAUGGGUGAUUUGCAACAAUCCCACUAGAUGUACCAUCAUGCCACCAUGAUACUAUGAAUUACAUUACAAUUGGGAUGCCCGUUCCUGCUGGGAGCUCAACACAUACCAACUCUUCAAGGAUCAUUCCCCAGAUAGCUCUUGAACAACAACUGAUUCAGUAUAGUCCCUAAGACCAGGUUCCUCCCACACCUCCGUAGCUCUGUCACAAAUAAAAACCAUGUGCCAGAGAUCCUCCCGAUCAGUACAACAGACUGUAUAGGCAACUGGAGUUUAAUACGUUGAUUCGCCAACGUCCAACACCACGGAACUAUGUCGCGCAAAACCCUUCAGUUGAAAAUAUGAACUUUCGAGGAUACAUGUCUUCCCCAGAAAAACUUCCAAACCAGAUGUGGACCCAUCCUUCCUUCUCCCACAUUAAGUAUGGCCCUCGAUCUAUAUUUUUUUCCUCCAAGCCACAUGGUGAAGCAUCUUGACUUGGUAAAUUGCCAUGCAAUAAAGUUUGAUUGACCAUGUGAAGGUAGAGGGAUUUGAAGAAUUAUCACAACGUCAACUGGCCAAAAUUAUCCUUGAUCAUUUGCUCAUCCUAGUUCCCUAAAAUUGGAUCAAUUAAGUCAUGAAUUGUCUGUAAUAAACACCGCCCCCAUGAGUAAUUAUCUUGUGAUCAUGGCUCAUUGGGGUCCAUCGUCCUUCCAAAAAUUAAUCGUCGCACCAUCUCGAAGUCGCCAUUAGCUCCAUGCUUAAGAGUUUUCAAACCAAAUAGAAUGCUCCGCCAUGUGUAUGACGAUUCGUUCUUCAACAUAGCCUUACAUAAGUCCUAAUCCAGGUAAUACUUAGCUUGAAGACCUGAGAACAUGGUGAUUAUGGUUCAAACAAUAAUCUCCAACACUGUUUUGCUAGCAUUGCUUUUUUGAAACAAUGUAAAUCUUCAAACCCCAUGCCACCUUUAUUUUUUGGAACACACAUUUUCCACCCCGCCUUCCAAUGCAGUUUUCGUUUACCUUGAGUGCCACCCCCACCAGAAUCUAGCAAUAGCAUCACACACAACCUGACAUGUAUUCUUCAAGAUAUUAAAAACAGUUAGCAUAGACUAGGAUUGCCUAUGCAACUACCUUCAGAAGUAUCUCUUUCCAACUAAAAGAUAACAUCCCCCCCCCACAGCGAAGAGAUAACAUCUUUGAUAGCCAACCAUUGUUAAGUGCCCAGACUCUAUCAAAAAGAUGUUGGAAGCAAUCACUACGGUCAAAAUGGUGGUAAUCUCAAAUACUUAUCAGUCAAUGCCUCUGAGCCAGUGUCAAGCUAUGCACAUACCUCAUCUCUUAGGGCUGGAAAAAAACAAUGGUCUUUGCAUUGUGGACCAACUACCCAAAGCUUGCACGAUACAUAUCUAGAGCAUUCGGGAGUGUCGUGGCAUUCGACGCAUCCGCUCUCAUCAAGAUUAGGAAGUCAUAAGAAAAUAACAAGCGUGAAAUUGAUGGUGCACUAUGGCACACCCUAAGCCCUUGGAUACCGCCAAUCUCCUCCUCAUGUGCUAGAAAACUAAAUAAAACCCUCACCACAAAAUCAAGAACAGGCAAGGCGACAGGGGAUCCCCUUGCCUAAGCCCCCUCAUAGGGGUAAAUAUAUAUGUUUUAUUUGAAUUGAACUAAACCCUGUAAUGAGCCCAUCAUACUCUUCAAUGAUCAUCGGCUGGUGCCUGAACAACCACUGUCCUCAUGCAUUGCAAUAUUCCACUUACCAAAGCAUAGAAACUCAGUUAUGAUUGUGUAGUCAUCCAAGGGCCUGAAUUUGACCUGCUUUGAGCACCCCCAGCCACUUGCAAGGCGGUGAAAAGUAUCGUAUGGCUGAAGGAAGCUCAGACACAAACCCUAAGAAUCAUCGCCCAAAGCAUCUCACAUGUGGGCGUUCCGAUUAGUCCCAAGAGAUCCACCACCUCCCUUUCCUCUUCCGUGAUCUCCAUCCUUUGGAGAAGAGCAUCAUCUUUGUUGCUGGGUUAGGUCCUAUGUUCUUUGUCGAGGCUUCCGCUAUCCCGCUACCCGUGAAUUCGAUGUUGCCGAUAGAGAUGCAGCCAAGGUGACGCACACUCGCCGUGUGCGAAGAUUUUCUAACCCUAGGGCACUACUCCGACAUAGGAGAGGGCGGGAUGUCCUUCCCUAGAUUGGCUAUGGUGGAUUCCUGCAAGGUCGCCACAAUGCAUGAGAAACCUAGGAUGCUAGGGGGGCCAGCCAUGAUCAUCACCUCCGCCACGGGAUUGAACUUGCAAUCGUGCAAUUCUAUUAUCGGGAUUGUUAAAUCUCAAUCCAUGCUAUAUUCUCGAGAUAUUACAUGGAGAUCCAUGCAAAAAUUUCUUUGAAUUUCUCUCUCUUUCUUUUUUAUAUCUUCUGUCACUUGACUGAGACUUGGUUAAAUCUCAAUUGAGUUGACUCCACACCCUUCUAAAUAUUUGCCGCUCCUAACCGUUCACGCAACCUCCGCGGAUGCUCUAAACUAAUCUAAAAAUGUUCUAAACUGCUUAACGUCGCACUUAUACAGUAGAAAAGAAAAUCAGAAUACCACAAACCAUUCAGACUUCAAUACGACGAAAACCACCAGGGGUAAGGUACUAAGGUAACACUGCUACUGCUGCUAGUAUAAACUGGGGCAACCAUUCCUCCCAAUAAUCAGCCAUGCAAUUGCAUCUUUAGCUACAAAAUUACACAUGUGACUGCAUGCUUCGACUUCCUAGCUACAUGUAACGGCACGGUUCCAACUCCAAAAAAAAAAAGUAUCCACGGUUUUGCGGAAUUUCCUACUGUUGCGGCGGUCCUCCCGCGUUUUCCUCCUCCACGCCCUCCGGCGCGCGCGCGGCCACCGCCGCCGACACCGCGGCGUCGUACCCGUCCGCCGAUGCCGCGGCGAACUCGGCCAUGGCGCCGGUGACGGCUCCCAAGCCGGCGCACAGCACGCGCCCCGCCAUGCCCUCCAUGCCCGCGGCAGCUCCCGAGCACACCGACCCGACGCCGGCCACGAAGAAGUCCAGCCCGUCCAUCACCCGCGCCUCCGACGCCGCUUCGACGGCGAGCCCCCACUCCAUGCACACUAGGAAUGCCGGCGGCACCGUGCGCGGCGUGGCGGCGUCCGCGCCAAUGCCCGGCGGCCAGGGCGCGCGUGUACGCGCGCUGCGCCGACAGCCAGGCGUCCAGGGCUCCGCGCCAGGCUCGCACCUCGCACUCGAGCGCGACGGCGGCGGGAGGCGGCGUCGUCGCCUCCGGAGGACCGAGAGCCACGGUGGUCGCCGCCGAUGCGCGGUGUUGGAGAAAGAGAAGCUUGGCGUCGUCGAUGGUCCGCUUCUGAGCCUCGUGGCGUUCAGCCAUGGCUCGCCACAUCCGCGACAGUCUGCACAAUGCAACAACAGCUCUGUUAUUAUCGAAGGCUACGAUCAGGCAAGAUCCCUUAAAUUCACGUGCAUUCCUACAUCAGCAUGCCUACUAUGAUCAAUAACCCAACAGCUAUUCACCCUUUGUUUGCUGAAAAUUUUAGCCAUAUCAUAUCAUCAGUAAAUUCCAAGUAUAGGAACUGUGGCAUUUUAAGUCGUGACUGCCUGGCUAGCCAUCAUCUACUCUUACUUGAUUGGAUUAUGCCCAUUGUUUGACCAAUUAACAUAUUAUUUAUGAAAUGUUGGCUUAUAAAAAUGGAGGGAGUACUAAAACUUCUCAAUGGUGAGCAGAAGCAUACCCUUGGAUAAGCUCCAUAAGUUGAGGGUGCAACUCCUCGUCUCUUAGAACUUCAAUUCUUCUUGAUAUUGACUGAACAGUUUGUAUUGACACCUUCAUCCGAGUUUGUAAGCUUCUCAACGCUGAACGAGUCUUAUCGACAGAAGAAGGCUCCUCCCCUUUCACAUCCUGGUUCCGCAAAUGUGUCAUCCUCUUCUCAUACUCAAGUCUUAACCGCUCACCCACCUACAAGUGACAAACGCAAGCAUGACUUCCGCUAGUCGGUUCUACUGACCUGUUGGUAUAGGUUCGUGACGGUGACAAAGACCAUACCUUUACUUCUUUGUACAAUUUCUUCUCCCAUGUAUACAGUCUAUCCAGAGUGGAGUGAUGACUUCCAGACAUUGUGCUGCAAGAUUCUUCAGAGUAACAGCUGCUUGUAUCAUUGUCAAAAAGAUCAUCUAUUGAGCCAGAGGAAGCAAGAAGGAAGCGGGAAGAUGAUGAUCGAAUUGAUGCAGAUCGCAAAAGUGCGACUGGGUUUAGCAUCUUUACUGCAUUAAAAAAAUCAUGAGGAAGUUCAGCGACUGAAAUCUGAAACAUUUUAAAUAAUAACUUCAGUAUUGGUUUAUAAAAGUGGUACCAGAGAGAUCAUUUGAGGUUGAGUAUUGAGCUCGACUUGCCUCCAGCAUCCGUGAGACUUCCUGAGCAGCGCUACAGAUCCCCAAAAACUGACUGUCAAUAUCUUUCAUAGCCUCGACCAAACUCGUUGGCCUUCGGUUCAGAUAAACAGUGAAACCUGGGGUUUCUUCUGCAUUUGCUACUUUGUUCCUCAUUAGUUCUUUCUUAUGUGCCUUGAUCUCAUGAUCUACUGCAUUUCGGGGCUCGGAUGAGCCUGCGCAUUGAACACCUUUGGAUUGAUGUCCCUUUUGUUCUUGCUUGACAUUGACUUCAGAUUUUCCUGGGCGAGCCUCGUUAGAAGCCAUACAUCUUUGGUCAUCUGAAUGCUCACAUUCAUCAGAUUCUUCUUCUUCAUCAUCAUCCUCAUCAGAUUCUUCUUCAUCAUCAUCAUCCUCCCCCUCCCCCUCCCCCUCUUUGUUGUGCAUUUGUUCAUGUUUUUGACAUUCAUCGUCUUCCUCUUCGAGUUCUGGGAUUCCUUCCUCCUCUCUUACCCGCUGUAACCGUGCCAAUUCAUCGUCAGUGACCACAUUGUCAUAGCUACUCCGAGGGCGCGGGUACGGAUAGCUGUCCAGCGACGAGAAUGGAUUCCAGAAGGAGUCCCACGGUGAUGAUUCUGGUUCCUGGGGUGAUGAGGGUGGGUAGUUUGGCCUGUCAUGAGAUGCGUAAAAAGAUGUCCUCCUUGGAUCCUGGGGUGGAGCAGGUGGAUAGCUUUGCCUGUCAUAAGGUGGCGUGUAAUAAGAGGAAUUCCUCACUGGCUCCUGGGGUGAUGGAGGUACGUAGUUUGGCUUCUCAUAAGGUGGCAUGUAAUAAGAAUUCCUCACUGGCUCCUGGGGUGAUGGAGCAUAAGGUGGCAUGUAAUAAGAAGAAUUCUUCACUGGAUCCUGGGGUGAUGAAGGUACGUAGUUUGGCCUUUCAUAAGGUGGCAUGUAAUGAGCAUUCCUCACUGGUUCCUGCGGUGAUGGAGCUACAUAGCUUGGCCUGUCAUAAGGUGGCAUGUAAUAAGCAUUCCUCACUGGUUCCUGGGGUGAUGGAGCUACAUAGCUUGGCCUGUCAUAAGGUGUAUAGUGAGAAGAUGGCCUCAUCGGUGAGGAAUUGGCUGGGAAGAAUCUAUCUGUGCCACCAUAGCCAUCCACAGGGUAAUGUGACUCAACACGGAUUGUUUCCACGGGCCGUGGAGCCUCUUCAACUGACACUGAUGGGUUUGGUCCUGACAUCAAGUACUUCGCGACAUGAACAGUCCUCUUCUCAUACGAACCAUAAGGAAGGCCGAGCAUCUCUGGCUUCUGUUGCUUGACAGGAGAAAUGAAUGGGUCAAAAAUGAGCUCGUGCCGAUCAUCUCCAGCAACGAACCGCUGCAGGGCCAUCGAGACACAUUUCAUGGAUUCGAUGUAGGCGAUGUGAGAGGACGCAAAACGGUUGCGCUGAUCCAGUGCCUGCUUGAUGAAGUCCCUCCUGUCCCGGCACAUCUUGACAGCCUCCUCAUCUUCCAAUCGGGAAGCAGCACAUCCCAUGUCUCCAGAGCCUUGUGUUUUCAGGAAUAUGUCAUGCCCGGGCCAGAACUUCGGAGUCUUAACAUGUCAAAACACAAAAAAGGAAUGCGACAGGUAAGUUUCAGCUCCAAUAAACCAAGUAUCAUGUGUACGUGCAGAAAUUACCUGAUACUGUACAGUGGUCAAUUGUUGGCAACCUGUGCAUUGCAGCUCAAGCCAAUGAAUUGGAAGAUGAUUCGUACCAACCUACAAUCAGGCAAAUUUCAGACAUUUCAGAAGCGAAUUCCAUACAUUUAUUCAGUAGCAAAUUCCAAACAUUUCAGAAGCAUGAGCGAUCAAAUUGUGUAUCAAAAGGGAACUCAGAGACAGGCUAAUCACCAGCAACAGGCAAUCAAUCAGGAGUGUUGAGAUUGACUACUUGGGAUCAAACAUGAAAUGCAGCUACUUCUCACAAGACCCAAAAAAUUCUCUUCUCAAAAGACAGCGAGAGCUACAACACCACAGAAAGACGUCCCUUUGGAAAUGAAAUACCCCACUGACAAAACAUACCCUACACAUUUUUCGGUUAGCUAGCAGCGACAUUCCUUCCUCCUAAACGAGGGCUAAAAAAGCAAGAAAGUUAGGAAUGUAACCCUUGGCCCAGCAAGACAUAAACGGUCCUACUGCCUACUUGCGUAAUCAUGGCCACGGGAAACUGGAAUUCAGUCCAGUACACUGAAGAUAUAGGGAUUCAGUUCAGUAAACUGGAAUUCAGUUCAGUACACUGAAGGUAACAGAGUCAGGACGGUGCUGGGUAAAACUAAUGAAACAUUGGAAUUCGAAACAGCAUUUUUUUCGUGCAGUGAAAUCAGCACAGACAACAAUCUUUUACCGUCCACAAAUCACAAGCAGCCAGAAAAACACAAUGCAAAGAUAUCUUGAAGGUGAAAUGAGGGGUCAGCCUCCGAAGAAGUGCCCAACUGUACACCGCAGGCAAACAGAAGUGUUGGCCCUGGAUGGACUAAAUUCCCACAGCUCCAUGGUGGGCUGAUUUUCCGGUGCUUAAGCAGUUGGCAACAACAACAACAACAACAACAAAGCCUUUAGUCCCAAACAAGUUGGGGUAGGCUAGAGGUGAAACCCAUAAGAUCUCGCAACCAACUCAUGGCUCUGGCACAUGGAUAGCAAGCUUCCACGCACCCCUGUCCAUAGCUAGCUCUUUGUCGAUACUCCAAUCCUUCAGGUCUCUCUUAACGGACUCCUCCCAUGUCAAAAUCGGUCGACCCCGCCCUCUCUUGACAUUCUCCGCACGCUUUAGCCGUCCGCUAUGCACUGGAGCUUCUGGAGGCCUGCGCUGAAUAUGCCCAAACCAUCUCAAACGAUGGUGGACAAGCUUCUCCUCAAUUGGUGCUACCCCAACUCUAUCUCGUAUAUCAUCAUUCCGGACUAAAGGUUAAAAAAAUGCUGUAACAAGAAGAAAAUUACAAGAAAGCUCUGAAGAUGAUGAUGGGUAAUAAUAACACUUGUCUCUUGGUAAACUGCCCACAAGGGAAAGAGUACUACUAGUAGUUCCAAUCCCCCAACCAAAUGCUCAAUCGCUCUUGCCAACCUGCGAGUGGAACCACGGAAGGGAAUGGAAAAAUUAAGGAUUUGCUGGACAGGACAAAGCACAGGCGCAUCAGUGCUCGUUGCAUCUUGCUUAACCAGGGCACGGAACAGAUGGAUAAAUUACGGACCCCAACCAAAAACACAACGCUUGCAGAGGCAAGGCAGUUCUCGCUCUGAAACUUUCAGAACCAGAUGAAGCAAGGAGAAUUGAAGGGAAAAUAAAAGUAAAAAACAGGGAAGUGCAUUAGACUACCUCCGUUAUCCGCUACAGAACCUAAAGAAACUAGAACACGGCAUCUGAUUCUGAUGCAGGAGGGGAAGGCGGAGACGACGAAAUCUCGCGUAGAAAAGAAGAGAACAUCAAAACUGUCGCAGUAAAAAAAAGAAGAGAACAGAGCACCACAGCUGUAGCAGCAAUAACCAAACAAGAAACGGCCGCUGAAUUCCCGUCUGGCCACAUUAAAGAGCAGGCGAAAUAAAAAUCGCAUGGAAAAAGAUCAGGCGCACAGUACAGGAACACAUCAUUCUGAAGUGUGGGUGAAGCAAAGACAGGGGAAAACAGAGAGAGGGAUGCAGAGGGAGGGGGAGAGAGAGGAAACCAGGGGCAUACGCAUACUACUAGAUAGAUACGUACAUGUUCUUGGAGCGCUCAAAGAGGGGAAUCACGAAAUUCUCUCUCUAGGGACGAAGAACAUCUCUCUCUCUCUCUCGAGCACACAAACACGCACGCAGCACUUUCUCUCUCUACUUUGGCCCCAGGACAGGAGAAACCUCUCAUCCAACCGCAUCAAUGGCCAACAUUAAACAAAACAAAAGGGAAGGUGGGGACAAAAGGAGGGGCAGGGCAAUGCGAACCUACACAAGAAGAGAUUAAAUAUAGGAUCAGGUGAGGGAGGUCUAUACCUGUUACCUGGGAUUGAGGUUGAAGGAGGACCUUCUCAAACCCCUUGGGUGGGUGUGUACAAGAACAACAAGGGGUCGAAGGAAGAUUUGUGGGGAGGGAGAGAGAGAGAGAGAGGAGUGUGGGUGGCAGUGGCAGUGGCAGAGGGGGGAAGAGAGAGAAGAGAGGCGAGGGGAGGGGCAACAACGGUCAAAAGACUCCNNNNNNNNNNNNNNNNNNNNNNNNNNNNNNNNNNNNNNNNNNNNNNNNNNNNNNNNNNNNNNNNNNNNNNNNNNNNNNNNNNNNNNNNNNNNNNNNNNNNNNNNNNNNNNNNNNNNNNNNNNNNNNNNNNNNNNNNNNNNNNNNNNNNNNNNNNNNNNNNNNNNNNNNNNNNNNNNNNNNNNNNNNNNNNNNNNNNNNNNNNNNNNNNNNNNNNNNNNNNNNNNNNNNNNNNNNNNNNNNNNNNNNNNNNNNNNNNNNNNNNNNNNNNNNNNNNNNNNNNNNNNNNNNNNNNNNNNNNNNNNNNNNNNNNNNNNNNNNNNNNNNNNNNNNNNNNNNNNNNNNNNNNNNNNNNNNNNNNNNNNNNNNNNNNNNNNNNNNNNNNNNNNNNNNNNNNNNNNNNNNNNNNNNNNNNNNNNNNNNNNNNNNNNNGAAGGAGGAGGGGAGAGAAAAGCGGGGGCGGCGGGUGGAUGAAUUGGGGUAUGACCCUACGCUUGCUGUUAUUUCCCAAUAAUUCCCUACUCAUUCAUUUUCCUCUUUUUUUAGCCCUACUGCUCAUUUAUUCUCUGCCAUUUUAUGGAAAAAUUCGGGCUCAGUAGGUUGGUUUGUGCACUUGAGGAAACUUCCGGCUCGGAGAACUGUCUUUUCUCGCGCAGGAAUUUUCACAUUUUUGUUACUUGUUACAGAGAGAGGGGGGUGGGGGUCGGGGGUGUUUUUUUUUACUGAAAACUUGUGACGAGUGCGAAAACUCAUGGCGUUUGGAGGCAUGCAAUGCGACAGCACCUGUGGCGCUACGCAAAUUAGGAACUGAAGUAUGACCGUGACGAUGGGUUUUGGAUCCUUGCGAGGGAGUGGGGGUAUCCGGAUACCCCUGCGAUAUCUCCAGGCUUCAAUUCAAUGCAUUAGUGGGAGAUUUGGUGUCAUGGGUGUAGGAAAUUGGGUCGGGCAUGCAAAUUAAAUUCCUGCAAAUCGAAGAGUUCUGUAUUCAUGCAAAUUAAAUUCUUGCGAAUCGAAAAGUUCUAUGAUUCAUGCAAAUUAAAUUCUUGCGAAUCAAAGAGCUCUAUGAUUCAUGCAAAUUAAAUUCUUGCGAAUCAAAGAGUACCAUGUUUUUUCCCCUCAGUACCAUGUUUUGGUUCAUGCCAAACAAACGAAGCUUCUCGCUUAAGUAUUAGUGUAGUAGUAUAUGGUGGUCAAGUCGGUUCAUGCAUGCAUGCCGCUCUGCACGCCUCACGCUUCUCACGUUCCCUAGCUAACCAGCCGAGGAUUCAGUUGUGGUUGUGCCAACAAAACAAAAAAAAACUCACAAGCGCCAUCUUUUUUUUUUGAGAAAACUCACAAACGCCAUCUAAGAGCAUCUACAACCGGACUCAACAAAUCCGCCCCCUAUAUGCAUGUGGGUGCGUCCGCCGGCCCCUCGUAUGUUGCAUCGCACAUCCAUAUACCUCAAAUUCCGAUCCUCGCACGUCGAUCAUGCGAUACAAAUUGUUCGAAUUCAAAAGUUUAAAACAAAGCAAAUUUGUAGUUCAACAAAGCGGACAUGUCAAAAUGAAAUCAAUAUCCGUGACGGAUGGCCUCGAAUCACUGGGCGAGAGUCUGCUCCGAGCGGAAUGUGUCGUGCUGAAGGCGGAAUGCGUCCUGCUCGUCUACUCCGCCUACAUCCGUGCCUCAGCCGCCCUCGCUGCCUCGUACUCUCUAUGUUCGUUGAUCUCCUUCUUGUCCGCAAGCCACUCCUUCGUAUGCUCAUCCAAGAGGGUUUCGUCCGCCAACAUAAUUCUCGCAUCCUCCGCGUCUCCUGCAAGUUGCAACCUCUCCUUCUUAAGCUCUAUGUCACCAAAUGUCUUGGCCUUCUCGAGUUCCCAUUUGAUGCCGCGUGUUGCUUCUCCAACUCGAUCUUCUCCCUUUCAAUAUUGAGUUUCUUCUCCGCCCUAUUUCGGUCCCACUCCAUUCUUUCCUUUUGCGCACCCAACAUGAGUUUGUACCUCUCCUCCUUGUUCUUCCUCGCCAAAAAAAUGCCCAACCAUGUGGACGACAUUUUUGUAGCCGCGACGUUAUGGGAGGCACGUGCCUUCUCUCACUUGUUUCCCAUGACUUGGCAGUUAUCCUUUGGCACGUUGGCUUUUUCAUUCGUCACGACAACAUCGUCAUUUCAUCGUCCAACCAAAUUGAUUGGUUCAUGGUUGGAGCUGCUGGUGCCCGUGCUCAUCUGCGCCCAAACGAGCUGCGGCGCGUCACAUACGUCGACCAGCGGCAUCUGCGUGGGCGGAAAGCUCUUCGGGGUGGGCCAGUGGGCCAUCGAAUCCUCCUCUGUCCCAAUGGGGGCGGAAGGCAUAAUCUGCGUCGGCGCUCGGAUGGAAGGGGUUGGGGAUACGGGCGCGGCGGGGGAGACAGCUGCUCCACCAUGUCCGAACCUCCCUGCGUCGCUGCCUCCGUCUCUCGUUUCGGCGUCGUCGCAACUUUCGGGCAACGUUCUCCGCCUUGCAAGUCAUAGCUGACAAAGGGACCCCGCCGACGGACGAGGCGGACCGUGUCUCCGUCGCGGCUGUCUGGGUCGGGCUGGACAGCUUGGACGACAUCUCCGACGAUGGACCGGGACCGGUGGUGAGGAUUGGGAGCAAGGGUGAAGGACGACGAGGCUCCGAGCGCGGGAAAGGUUGGAGGGCGGUUGGAGGAGGAGAAAGGGUUUGAUGGAUUUGAUGCAAUUUGCGGUGGAGUCAAGCUGUCGGAUCCGACGCGACGGGUAGGCCCGGACGGUCCAUAUCCGCCCAAUAUUUAGACUAGAUAUGAGAGGUGCCGGUCAGUCCGAACGUUUGAUGCUCAUUUAAAGAACUUAUCUGGAUGAAAAAAUCAUGACCGAUCGAUGACCCGACGGCCCUUCCAAAUGUGUAAAACAUGUAAAACGGGUUUGCGGGCGCCCAGCUGUAGAUGCUGUAAAGCUCUAACAAACACUUCGAAGUGCAAACCAAAAGAAACCGGCCUGAUCAUCUCCUCCUGCACGUCAAUGGAUUAUUCUGACCAGGGAAAGAAAAUAAAGUAAUUAAUGGAUUAUUCUGACCAGGGAGUAGUAGCACUGCAUGUGCCACCUGGCAGCCAUGCAUGCAUACGCAUGCGUAAGUACCCCACACGCAAUUUUGGCCUUGGAAAAAAUAAAUUAAAUUACGGUGGAAAAGCAAGACCGACCCAAGAGAAUAGAAUAGGAUGCCCAUCUUUCUUUUGUGGCUUACUCAAUUUCAGAUGAAGGUUCGUUUAUGCCCAUGCACUAACUGGUGGCUUGGCUUGCACCAGUAUUUUUUUUUCAGCAUAUAAAGGAAUAAUAAUCUUCUAGUCCAUGUGUUCGUUGUUCUACCAUCUACUACACCACGGUGCAUCUAUCUAACUAUGCUUUGUAGCAAUAACACCGAAAGUAAGAAAAGAAUAUCACGCCCUCUCCACGUACACGGUAUCAGCUUAUCAGGGCGACGGCGACGACAAGAAGGUUCCGUACGUGCACUCAUGGUUAAAAACGAAGUUUGUUUUCUCAGCCGGAACGCUUGCGACAUGACACGACACAUGAUAUUUCUUCUGCCAAAGAAGAACAUUUCCUCUCUUUUUUCAACCCCCAAACCGGCUUGGAAAGUCUCUUCCAUCGUAUGGACGGGGACGGAGAUGGAGAAGGAGAAGAGCGUGCAUGGGAAUUUUCAAAAAAGAUAAAGCACGGUUUGUUAGCAUGCAUCUGCAUGCCUGUCGCAGAAGAGCAACCAAGAAAAGCAAAAGAGGUGAAAGAUUCCUCCGCAUGUCCUCGCUCCUUCCGAGCCUUUAUCUUGCCCUAGCAUGCUUUUAGAUUGGUGCCUGCCCGUUCGUCCAAAACCCAUGCCCCUGCCCAUAGGUCGACAAGCAAACUGUGAUCCUUAUUUGUCUUUUACUAUAAUCUUUUUCCCAAAAGGAAACUUGGCAAGAUGAAAAUGCUGCUGGCUGAAAGAUGGCCUUACUUUUCACCCGGUUUUCUCACUCAAAGACAGCCUUUCCGAUCAGUUAUUAUUAUCUCCCAUGAUCAUUACAGAACUGUGCAUGCAGAUGAAUGGCCAUGCGUCUUCAGAUAGUAGUAAUAUAUAGAUCAUCCCAGCGCAAAUUGAGAACGCAAGAAACAGAACAAAUAUAGUCUUUCAGAACUGUCCGUCUAAUAACUCUGAAGCUGGAAUUUUUAGGUGGUUAUUAACUGAAGAGACGCCGCUAUACAUGGAAAUGCCACAAAACGUGCAUGCUAAGCCAGACAAACAAGGUCUUUACCUGGCAUGAGAACCUUUUAUUUUAAUAUGUUUGUGCCCAUUUCUUGCUUGAAAAGAAAAGAGAACAAAUAAGACAAUAUAACAGUUCUUCAUCUCACACCAGCACUUGGCUAGAUCACUCUGGCCAGUUUAGAGUAGAAGCUGAGAAAUGACAAGCGCAACAAGCCACAGCAAGCUUUCCCCAAAGUCGCGUGGAUCGCCCGAACAAGAAGACAUGAUUGCCAGAAACAUGGCCAAAUGUGUCCUCCCAUCUAGUUAACUAAUCGAUUUACUGCCGCUAGAUCCACAGCACAACAGGGCAGAACCAACCCUUAAUCAAAUGCCCAGCCCCGAGGACGCAGCAAGAAUCUCAGCCUGCUCUUUCCAUCAGUGCAACGUGGGCCAAUCCAUCACAGUUGAAAUAUAAAAAGAGGAAAAGAAAGACUGGAAUUAUCUGCGAGGGCAACUAGUAGGAGUGGUAGUACUAAACUCCACCCGGCAGUGCAGUGUCCAAUCCGCACACAUGCGCCCCUGCUGUAGCCUCCUCGGCCCGCCGGUCAAUUUGCCAUCCAUUGGAUCGGGCUCGCUCGCCUUUUCCCCUAACAGCGGCUUUCGCGUUGAAAAUGCAGUUUACCAGUGGGUGCAGUACUGUACUGGGCUGGACUGGGCAUGCAUUUUUUGUGAGAUCGGCUGGGGUAAAUGAUCAAGAAAACCCUGCAGAAGAGAAAAGCUGACGGUAGACUAUUUUCUACUCCCCCCAUCAGUGAGACCAGGGCUCGCACCUGCACGGGUUUAUGAUGGCCUUGUGUUGGCACUGUGCCUCCGGCGAGUAGAGUAGAUCUGCUGCUCAUGUUAUACUGCGUGUACUGUUGCACACUGUAUCUGUGUGUGUCGUACUGGCCUAGUUGGACUGCAAGCUGGACUGACUGGUGCACGCACAAGUCACUCACUGCCAGCCAGCCAGCCAGGAAGUCCAAGGCUUCAGGUACGGCUGCCCGUGGCAUGGCUACAAGGACUACGAUCCAAAAUGAGUUCAUCUGUACUUCUCCACUCCAUGUCCUGUAUUUGGUUUACUCCUUUUUUCUCAUGCAUGUUACCUACCAAAACGGUCGUUUUAUGAAAUCAAACCGCCUGCAUUGCUUCCUUCCCUCUGAGGAGAAUAGAAACUGUGUUUGCUGCUCUGUCACUGGUGAAAACUGUAGAGCAACUAGUACUAUAAGAAAGGAUCGAACUAGUAAAGUGUCCCUACUCUUUCUGUCAGUCAGCACUCAGCACUGAAGAAUGCCUACUCCUGCCUUCAUCACAUGACCUGUUGCGUCCAGUUGGUACGUGGGAGUACAUGGCAAGCCCUGCAUUACACCGAGGAAUUCCAUUAAGGCUACUGUUGGAAGAUGCCAUCGCCGUCAGAUGCGGCUCUCGAGGAAAGUCUCAACAAAGUUUCCAAAUGGGAUCGGCAGGUAAAGAGUAAUGCUAGUGUGACAGUGUCAAUGUCAAUGUGGUCCAUGGAGGGAGGGAGAGAGAGAGAGAGAGAGAGAGAGAGAGAGAGAGAGAGAGAGAGAGAGAGAGAGAUGUGAAUCUGCACGCACAGUGAAGUUUUAUGGCACAUGAAUCGCAGGGCACAGUGAAGGAUCAGUUUGCUUACACUGCCUGCAUGCAUGCAGUGCAGCCAGGCACACACACACAGCCGCAUUGAUGACCCCCACCAUUGAAGGCCGUGGCAGCAGGAAUUUGGUGGUAGCCAUUUGCUGCCUUCAUGAGCUUUGGCUGAUGCUGGUUCUGGCUGUGACGAUGCGCGGCACAUUUUAGCUUCGCUUGCAAAGGAGGCCCACCAUUCAGCUGAGAAACUGGCUUGCGGGGGUCCAGCACAGCUCUGGUCCCAAGCCCCAACAUGAGACAAGCCUUCUUCAUGUGCCAAUACCUGCAUAUGCAGCUGAAUUUUUUUCCGUUCACAGCUUGCAACGGUGUCCGGAAUUUACCAGAUGUUUAUUUCUGAAUUUACCAGCUGGUUUCCAUAGGCUGUUGCCAUGCUGCAUAAAAACCCCAAACUAAUGCAGAGCAACACAACUGGAUUGGAAUGGAACACCAAUCUCUUUUUAGGUGCUAGGGUACUACACUUGACUUUAGUAUAAACAUUCCAGCCUAAGAUGUACAUAUAUCGGCCCAGGAAGCAGACAUGCUCGCUUGCUCUGCGAAGGGGCCAAACGAACGAACACUAACUAGCAUAUGUCUGCCAAAGGAAAUGCGUCAGCAGGGGAAGAGGAUAGGGCAUCCAUCCCGCCGCAGCUUGUUGUCGGAGAGGUCCAGCUUGCUCAUCUUCUCCUCGCACCACAGCAGCUGCUCCUUGCUCAGCUUGGCCAUUCUCAGCACCCUCGACACCACUUUGAUGUCCGUCAGGGCAAACAGCAGCUGCACUUCCUCCAUUGUGGUCGGCCAGGUCUUGCUCUUCCAUCCCUUUUUCUUCUUGAACAGCUCUUUCACCUUCAUCUCCUUCUGCGGAUUUGGAGAUAUAUAUAUACGCAUUAGAAAGGAAAAAACAGUAUCACGUGAACGCUUCAACUGCCCAUAUGCUGACAGCAACUACCAUACCCGCAAGGAUAUGCUUCAAAAGUUCAUUUCAUAUUCAAUGAACGUCACAGGUGCGUUAGGAAAAAUGCAUUCUACUGAUAGGUGGAUUUUAAUAGUAUUAUCAUUCAACAAAGAGAUCAUAUAUUUAACCAACACAAUGAAAGGUAGAGACAAGGAACUGAAAAAAUACCCGGUAAUAAACUGAACUGAUUUUUAAACCCUAAGAGUUAUUAAGUCUAACCUUAUCCAGAGAGGAUUGAACUUGCUGAAUCGAACUUCCAGUAUGGCCAUGAACGCCCAUGAGGACACUGCUCUUUUUCUUGUCCUUCUUCAGGAAAACACGAAAAGUUAAGAUACACUCCUCUAAUAAUUUCAUGAGGUCAGGUGCCAAGAUUGGUUCCGUCUGGUCUUCAGCAUUAUCUUUCCCGUCUGCAACUGAAUAGACAAAAAAGGAACAAAAAGCGAUGACAUAUCAAAAUGCGUAUAGCAGCAAGUGUACAGAGAGAUGCCAAAAGUAUGUUAUACAAGCAGUGGUAGGAGGGUACUGUGACAGUCAGGAUGCAAAGAUAGAAAAAAUAGCUCUAAAAUAUAAGCACAACAUAACAGACAAAAGCUUACUUCUCCAUAUCAAGGAAACGGAACUACGAUGCAGCAAAAAUAGAAACAUUAAGAGUAUUGCACUCAGGACUUGCCUUACUGGAUGAUCAAAUUAAAAUCAGAUCAAAGGAUUUUGCUACGGGAUUUUACACACAUUGCACAUAAGCACAUUACAUCAGUAAGAAUCUAUCGCUCAUUUAGCAAAAGCAUUAUAUGGAAGUAAAAUACUUUGUUCCAACUAACACAUUAGCUGCAGCAUCUACUUAAUAGAACUUUUAACCAAGUCCUGCAGCCAGUCCAGACUGACAAAAUUCUUGGAAUUUAUAUGCAAUCAAUGAGGAAGUUCAUGGGCAUGGCAAUUGACAAAUCUUAAAUUUGCAGGUACAGCUCCUAAACUUCUCUUGGCCACUUAGUCAUACGCUGAGCAUAUAUAUGGAUCUUAAAAGUAGGCAACAUGUGGCUCUUAGGGUUCAAGUGUUUCCAUCAUCCAAGUUAUUGAAUGAUGUUACAAAACUGACUGGCCACAGAUGAAUGCGAAACAGAAAAGAACCCAGAUUCACCAACCGUACAUUAUCAACCAUUAAUGGUGCCAGUGUACAGAAGAUUUAAUUGGCUUGUAGCAUGUGCAUUAUGUGUACGCCAUUCAAUGAUAAUCUACUUACUGUCCUAUUCACCUAGUAGUGGCCAAAGAGAACCACACUCAAAAUAACGCAAAGGGACCCAGUAUGAUCUCAUUUGAUAUGACAAAUACAAUCCAUGUGUGUAUAAGUAUAAACAAGAUGUCUGAGAUCUACCAACCAUUCCCCUACAACAUAGUAAAGCUUAACAAUUUCCACCAUGAUUAAGACUGUAGGGAAGUAAGAAUAACUGAAGCUGUUGCAAAUUAGCUUGUACUUAUGGGGGACAUAUUUCCAUGUAUAGAACAGCAUACACAUAGCAAUUAUCAACAGUAGGAAUCAUGCAGCCUCACAACAAUAUGAGAAUUAUCUCGCUACCCACAUUGUCUCGUACAAGCAUGAGCUUUAUCACGCCAUUUUUUCAGAUACAACUUCCUGGAUAUCAACAUGGCUCCCAAAGUGAUCUUUGACCAGUAAAUUCCACUGUACUAUAUUUAUAACAAACGAAAUUUUAGAGUUACUUCUCAAGACCGAAUUUACGCCUGUCGCAAACAAUACCAAAUGACAGUGUAUGUUAUUCAUGUAUCCAAACUAAACAGUUGAACAGAUAUUGGGAACCAAAUUUUGACUGAACGAAACCCCAAACUGCAUCCAUUUGGGCUAGAGGAAGUGCUAGGAAACAAUUAUAACCAUAUACCAAUAUUCUUAUGGUGGUAAGGUGUCCCAAGGCAAGCACUGACCACCUUGAUGCCUAAGCGCCUAAGGUGGUUAAAAUUCUAUGGUGUUGCCUAAGCGUCCAAAGCGGGAUGCCUUAAAAACAAUGCCAUAUGCACCUUCUUAUUUGAAAAUAAGUGGCAUUUGAAACCGAAACUAUUAGGCAUGCUUUCACCGUAAGUGACAUUUAAGAUAUGACCUAUUCACUGAAACAUCCAAGCUGUUACUCUAGUACCGACUAUACCAACAAAUGCACAUCAGAACAGUGUUAGAUCAUAUUGGACAUCUGAGUUGUUCUCCGUCUUAGUUUACUUACUCAUACCCAAUGUAUCCACAAACCAUUGUGUGCAUUCACUGCCGGUAUUUUCAAAAUACAUCUUUCUGUUACAUCUUAGUACCACGUUCAUGUAUGAAAGGGCAAUACCAGCCUACAUAAUCAGAUAGAAUGUACUUACUAACGUACUCCCUUUGUAAAGAAAUAUAAGAUCAUUUAGAUCACUAAGAAAAAAAAACAAUUUGAUAUAAGAUGUAUCGGUAAAAACAGAGUUCAUCUUUCAGGUACAUGACAAAAUAAAAACCAAUACAGCAAACAAGUAAAAUUGCCAUGAUGUCACAACAUACUAUAUAUGGUAUCUUCAAUGCUAUUCAUUCCCAAGCCGUCAGGGUAGCUAUCAAACUCCUUGGUGAAAGUGAAAUGAAUGACCUCGCUCUUGUCUCAGUCCAGAGCUCACAGGAGUCCCGUCGAUGGCCUUAUGAGAUUCACAUGGACCAUUCGGUGGCUCCAAAACGUGCACAAAGUCAGCAUGAAACAAGCUGGACCCAGUAUGGAGAUUGGGUGAGUCUGCAAAGCUGGUAGGCGGGGGACCUUACAAGUAGAUUUGAAAGAGACAAAACAAACUGAGCUAACAAAGUGCAACGAGGGGAGAGGGUAACUGGCGCAACUAGAGCCAUCGAAUCGAGAUUGUGGGCAGAGAUUAGAAAUUAUAGAUUGUCAACUUUGGCAUUUAAGUGGAAGCUAGCUUUGAUCGCCCCUGCAGCAUUAGAUCUUGGAGGGACGGCUGAGAAAAGGAAGGCUCAAAGGAUAUUAGUGUUGUCCCAUAUUGGAAGUUCCGUGUGCAGUAUGAACCCUAUAAGUCCAAAUCCCGAUGGUUUUGGACGUAUCUAUGGCGACAUCCACCCCUGCAAUAAGGAAUCCUCAAUCAUACCCACCCCCGAUCCGGAUCCCAGUCGUCUAGUUUCGUCACACGGCCCCUGCCUCAUGGACGGUUUAGGCCUUGUGUCAAGUAAACAUAGGCAGUAGUACUUCUAAAUCUGCAAUGUACUUAUGUCUUGUGAUGUAUUCCAAUGGCAAACAAUUAUGUAAUGCACAUAGUCGAUCAUGAUGUGUAUUUACGACUGUUAGAGCUUGUCACUGCCCACUACAUAUCUCAGAACUCAGAAGGCUAAGUGUGCUUUGUUGGUUGUCACUGUAUGAUCCAUCAGAACUAAGAAUAAGACACUGAUUCUUGACCAAGCAAAAAAUGACAGCUAUUACAACAAGUUGCAAUGUGGCAAUGCAAAUAGAUUAAAUAACAAAUCAAAUAAGUUGCCACAAGGACUCAAGAGUUGAUUGCACUAGCAUCAGUAGUGAAUUUCAUUGUCAAAUGAUAGGAUACAUUUGUGUUAAAAAAUGCAAUAACUAUAAUCCAAGUGUCGUACCUUGAAAAGUGGGAACCUGAAGCAAUUUCGACAAGGAGCUCCGAGAACGUGCAUAUAUCUGAAAACGUGAACCUUGCUCAAAUGGUUCAUUCUCAACAAAUCUCUGCAACAGAACCUGAAACUGCUGAAAUGCUUGAGCAGCACAGCUAUAGGUGGUGGGAUUCUCCGGCUGUGCUGCCAGUAUCAGACUCAGGUGCAUGUAGGUACAAUGAAUAGCCUCCCAGCUUAAAGAAACCUGUGCAACAUAAGCAGUCUCGAGUAUUUGGUAAGGGUCAUCCUCGCUCUGCUGCUGCUGAAGAUUCUCACAGUCCUCCUGAAGCUCAUCCCUCCUUUUGAAUGAUAGACUGCGCAAGGUUGAUGCCAAUUUUGAUGCUGAUCUAGGCGACUUUUUUGAGAUGUUGAAUGACCCUGGGAAAUUUGUUUAUCAACCAUUAGAAAGUUGAAAGGAACGGUUUGUGGAUUAUCUGCACUUACAGAAUAGCAAACAAAUUGUCUUAUUUGAUUUCACACGUGCAUAAGAGAAGCAUAUUACACAAGAAAGAGGAGGUGCAACCCUCAAGUUUCCUCAAGUCCCAAAUAACAAUCACAUAAGCAGCAACACAUGCAGAUAAGAAAUAGUACACGCUUUAGUGACAUUCCAAAGAGUUAUGUGUACACGACAUGUUUUUUUAAGUACAAGGAGAAAGACAACAAAAGUUUUAUGGAGGCAACCUACACUCGGCACCAAAAGGUGAAAAUCAUGAAAUUGCUCAAACAAUAGAACUGUUGGAGAUGACAACUGCUGUCAUACCAAAUGAUAACCGUCGGCUAGCAUAAGAAUCUAUAUAUGGUUGACCAUCAAAGCUCGUAAGAUGCUCAGUCACCAUGUAGAUUUUCAGAAUCUAUCAUGUAAAGCAACAAAAAAAGAAUGGUGCACAGUACUGGAUGGGCUAAUUAAUGAAGUUAUGUAAAAAAUGAAGAGCAAUAACUGACAUGGUACUUCAAGACUAACGUGGCCAGCCAGAUAGCAGCAACAAAAUAGAACACAUUGUGUGGGAUUCUAAGGAUAGAAGAUGUUAAUUCUGUCUGCUAUUUCACAUAGAGUGCAGAUAGCAGAUGCCAAUUUGUGUGCUGAUUUAGGCGACCUUGUCAAGAUGUUGAGUGACCCUGAGAAGUUUGUUAUCAACCAUUUGAAAGUUGAAAGGUGUGGUUUAUAGAUUAUCUGCACUCUAGAGAGCAGUAAACAAAUCAUCUAAUUUCAUAAGAUUUUAUACACACAUAAGAGAAGCGUAUUACGCAAGAAAGGGGACGUGUCAUCCUCAAGUCCCAACUAACAAUCUGAUAAGCAGCAACACAUGCAGAAAAGAAACGGUAUGUGCUUUAGCGACGUUUGAAAGAGUUACUUAUGAGUAUGCAACAAAUUUUUGGAGUGGAGAACGACGACAAAAGUUUUAUGGAGGCACACACUCAGCACCAAAAAGUGAAAAUCAUGAAAUUGUUCAAACAAUAGAUCUGUCGAAGAUGACAACAUACCAAAUGAUAACCGUCAGUUAGCACAAGAAUCUAUCUGUGGCUGAUCAUCACAGCUCAUAUGAUGCUCAGUCACCAUGUAGAUUUAUAGCAUCUAUCAUAUACCCCCAAAAAAACGAUGGUGCACACUUCUGGAUGGGCUAAAUAAUGCAGUUGCGUGACAAAAAUAGAGGGAUAACUGAAAUGUUGCUUUGAGACUAAUAUGGCAGACCAGAUAGCAGCAAAGUAAAACACAUUGUGUGGCAUUCAACUCAACAUGCAAAAACUAUAAGCACCCAUACAAAAGACUACAACGUGCUAUAUUUUUCACCGUGUAGAUUUUUAGAACCUACCAUAUACCAAAAAAACAAAAUCGAUGGUGUGCACUUCUAGGUGGAUAAAAUAGUGCCGUUAUGUAGGAAAUGAAGACUGAAAUGUUGCUUCGAAACUAAUAUGGUCAGUCAGAUAGCAGCAACAAAGUAAAACACAUUGCGUGGCAAUGUGGCAUUCAAGUCAACACGCAACAACUCUAAGCACCCAUACAAGAAACUACAAUGUGCUAUAUUUUUCACCUGAAUCCUUAAAGAUCUGUGUAAUCGUCUUAUCAAACGCCACCAUUCUCUGAGAGUACUUAUCAUAGAGCGAGUCGAAGCCACAUAGCGGGAACCCUUCGCCGACGUCGGACUCCAUCCACUCCCUGGAGCUACUCCCUUCCUCUUCCUCUUCCCCGUCCUCAUCCUCCUCCACCUCAGCAUUCUCCUCCUCCGGGAUGAGCACCAUGAAGGUGUUCUUCCUCAUCUCCUUGAGCCGCCGCUUCACCUCGUUGGUGAUGAAAUCGUCGUCCUCGUCCUCCUCUUCCUCACCAACCUCCUCUCCUCCAUUGGCCACACCAGCCCCUCCCCCAUUGGCCACACCAGCCCCUGCGGCCGCCUCAGGAUUCUGCUCGGAGAUGUCGCCCUCCGAAGCCACAUUCCCUCCGUUGGCGUCCUCGUCGCACUCCAAGGCCUCUCCCUCACGCCUGGAGCCCUUCCGGGCCUUGCCGAACUUCUUGAGCUUGAAGAAAUCCAUGAGCCGGGAGCUCCUAAAGCCGAAACCCGAAGAUUCUCCCUCCCCACUUCGCCUUUCCCCGGUUGGUCCAAAGGCCGCGCUCCCUUUCGCCUCCCCUGCAAGCAGCACGAGAAUCGCCCGGUGCGUCAAAGGACCGACAGGGACCGGAGAAUAAAACGAAAGGGACAGGACAGGAACAGGACAGGGGCGCCUCGCUAGAAGAACCCUAGCGGAUCAGCGGCGCCGCCCGGAAAUACCUCGCGGAAUGGAACGAUCUGCGGCCUGGGCUCGCGGGAUCGGCCGGUGGAGAGCAGCGGGGACUGAGAAACGAGAUCGACGGGCCGGACGGCGGAGAGAAAAACGGCUGCGCGGCGUCGCCGGGACGGACCUCCCUCACGCCGGCGACCUCUCCCCCGCGAUUCGACCGCCGUCUGCUGCAGGGGCUGCGCCGCCUGCUGGUUCUGACUCCGCUGCUGCCGCUCCUCGUGAGCCUCGUCGUCACGCUCUCUCGCCUCGUGAGGGGAGGAGAGGGGAGGUUUAGGGGGGCGGCGGGUUUGGGGCUUGAACUGACACGGCGCGUCGCCGACCACUUUUUGGCCUCUCUCGGCCACGGAGUUUAACCACGGGGGGUUGAGGGGUUUACGCGGCGCCGUUUGAAUCAGGUGGGGGAUUUUACCGCUUUACGGCUUGAUUAGGAUGGUCAAAGCGAGGGGUGCAUCGGAGACCGAGCUGAAUGGUACGAUGCCUGUCGUCUCGUCCGCGCGAUUAUAAUAGUGGAUGGACGAGGACUACGGCAAAGUUUCUGACCCUGCAGAUGGAACCCUGAACCUGCUUUUUUCUUUUUCAUUCACGAAGGAGUCACGGGAUCUUUUUUUUCUUUUUGAGGGAUUUCACGGGGCCAAUCUUAUUCGGCCCUACACACGCUGGUUACAAUUGUUUCUUGCAAACCGGCGCCUGCAGCGCGUUAGUUGAGCUCGGCCCAUUACCUUUUUGUUAGCAAUCCUGUACUGCUUGUAUUUCGAUGAAUUCCAGAAAAAGUUGCCGGGCAUGGGAUCGAACUCGCGACCUCGUGGAAUCUUUCUUCGUUUCCCUAUUUACUUGUUUGUCACUUUGUUUUAUUCUUUUUCUUGUUUUUCUACUUCUUUUCCUUUUUCUUUUUUUUCUUCCUAAAAUGCAUGGUUUUUCAGUUCGUGAACUUCUCUUCGAAACCGAUGAACUUUUCUUUUCAAAUAUAAUGAUCUUUUUACGAAUUCGAUGAUUUUUUUUGCAAAAUUGAUACCUUUUUCAAAUUGAAUGAACCUUUUUCAAAAUUGAUGAUUUAUUAUUUCAAAAUCAGUAAAAAAAUUCAAAUUCGAUGAACUUUUCUUCAAAAGCGGUGAGUUUUUUUAAAUCCAAUGAUUUUUUUGAAAAUCGAUGAACUUUUUCAAAUUGAAUGAACUUUUUUUCAAAAUUGUUAACUAUUUUUUUCAAAAUCGGUGAACUCUUUUUAAAUUUGAUGAUCUUUUCUUCAAAAUCGGUGAAUUUUUUUUCAAAUCCGAUGAACUUAUUUCAGAUUCAUUUGGAGCUAUUUUCUAACUGACUCAUUGACAUGAGAGAUUGGAUGUGAUGCGCCAGUCAUUCGUACUACAGCGGACAAAGGUCACCAGCAAACAGUCACAAUGGAACCUGGCACUACUGUUUGCCCUAAGGGCCAACCCACCUUUUCAGACAAAUAGACACAUGACAUCACUGUAUUUCUUUAAAAAAUAAGAACUUUUUUCAAAAUCAAUGAACUUUUAUGAAAUUCAUGAACAUUUUUAGAAAUUUAACGAACUGUUUUCAUUAAAUAAAAUAGACAUUUUCCAAAUUGUUUUCAAAUAACUUAAAAAUCUAAGUGGUACAGUAAAUGGUUGAGUAAUAAAUAGCGCGGUUGCAUUAAUUCUAAUACAAUUCGUGUUGCUUUUGUUCACUAGCAUUCCGGUGGUGUAGUGGUUUAGCUAAGCAGCGACAGGGUCGUGUGGUGUGAGAUCGAUUUCCCAUGGCGCAAAUUUUUGUCAUGGUCUUUUCGCGAACAUUCCUGGGCCGCGCUUAACAAGCCCACAGGUGAUGCCUACAGCGCCGAAUAGGUUCAUGAUGCUGGUGGCUUGGCUCGAAGGGUUUGUGUGCUCCUUUUUUUAGGCAAAUGGUGUGUGUUGCUGGACCGCUAGAAUAGGAGCCCGGCUCACUUGAGGGAUAGAGUGUCAUAAGUUCGACCUGUUUAAGCAAGAUUCUUUAAGAAAACAUUUUUUAACAAAAUCUGAAAAUAUAUGACCCAAAACAUAAUUUUCAAAAAUAUGACCCGGUCUCCAUUAUUAUCAACACUCGCAUCAUAUGUUGGGGAACGUAGUAAUUUUAAAAAAAAUCCUACGCACACGCAAGAUCAUGGUGAUGCAUAGCAACGACAGGGGAGAGUAUGUCUACGUACCCUCGUAGACCGAAAGCGGAAGCGUUUAUCAACGCGGUUGAUGUAGUCGUACACCUUCACGAUCCGUCCCGAUCAAGUACCGAACGUAUGGCACCUCCACGUUCAGCACACGUUCAGCUCGAUGGUGUCCUCGCCUUCUUGAUCCAGUAAGAGGGGCAAAGUAGUAGAUGAGUUCGGGCAGCACGACGGCGUGAUGACGGUGUUGGUGAAGAACAAUUUCCGCAGGGCUUCGUCUAAGCACUACAAAAACUAUGACGGAGGAUAAACUAGAGGGGACGGGGUUGCCGGCACACGGCUUGGUGUUUCUUAACGUGUCUUAGGUGCUAGCCCUACCCCUCUAUUUAUAUGUUGAGCCUUGGGGUCAAAACUUGGAGUAAAAGCCUCCACAAAGUCGGUUUAACCCGAAAGGCAAGAGUCCUUCUCGGACUCCAGGGCCAGACGCCAGGGUUCCCGGCGUCUGGACCCGGACCCUGGCGUCUGGACCCAGACGCCAGGGACCCUGGCGUCUGACCCCUGGACUCCGUAAAAUUUCCUUUUGCUCUUUCCAAAAACCUUGUGGGCUUUCCCCUUUGGCUCAAAUAAAGUGUUCUCGUACCCAAAAAUUUAGGGAAACAUUCGGAACCCCUUCCGGUGAAUUCCGGAACCCUUUCGGAGACCAAACACUAUUAUCCCAUAUAUCAAACUUUAUCUCCGGACCAUUCCGGAGUUCCUCGUCAUGUCCGUGAUCUUAUCCGGAACUCCGAACAACAUUCGGUCACCAACAUACAUAACUCAUGUAAUACUAUAUCGUCAACGAACGUUUAAGCGUGCGGACCCUACGGGUUCGAGAACUAUGUAGACAUGACUGAGGCACUUCUCUGGUCAAUAACCAAUAGCGGAAUCUGGAUGCCCAUAUUGGCUCCUACAUAUUCUACGAAGAUCUUUAUCGGUCGAACCGCAUAACAACAUACCUUGUUUCCUUUGUCAUCGGUAUGUUACUUGCUCGCGAUUCAAUUGUCGGUAUCUCAAUACCUAGUUUAAUCUCUUUACCGGCAAUUCUCUUUACUUGUUUUGUAAUGCAUCAUCCCAUAACUAACUCAUUAGUCACAUUGCUUGCAAGGCUUAUAGUGAUGUGCAUUACCGAGAGGGCCCAGAGUGACAAAUCCUAAUCUCGAUCUAUGCCAACUCAACAAGUACCAUUGGAGACACCUGUAGAGCACCUUUAUAAUCACCUAGUUACGUUGUGAUGUUUGGUAGCACACAAAGUGUUCCUCCGGUAUUCGGGAGUUGCAUAAUCUCAUAGUCAUAGGAACAUGCAUAAGUCAUGAAGAAAGCAAUAGCAGUAAACUAAACGAUCAAGUGCUAAGCUAACGGAAUGGGUCAAGUCAAUCACAUCAUUCUCCUAAUGAUGUGACCCCGUUUAUCAAAUGACAACUCAUGUCUAUGGCUAGGAAACUUAACCAUCUUUGAUCAACGAGCUAGUCAAGUAGAGGCAUACUAGUGACAUUUAGUUUGUCUAUAUAUUCACACAUGUACUAAUUUUCCAGUUAAUACAAUUCUAGCAUGAAUAAUAAACAUUUAUCAUGAUAUAAGGAAAUAUAAAUAACAACUUUAUUAUUGCCUCUAGGGUAUAUUUCCUUCAGUCUCCCACUUGCACUAGCCAUGUGAUUUAACACCAAUAGUUCACAUCACCAUGUGAUUAACACCCAUAGUUCACAUCGCCAUGUGACCAACACUCAAAGGGUUUACUAGAGUCACUAAUCUAGUUCACAUCGACAUGUGAUUAACACCCAAAGAGUACUAAGGUGUGAUCAUGUUUUGCUUGUGAGAGAAGUUUAGUCAACGGGUCUGCCAAAUUCAGAUCCGUAUGUAUUUUACAAAUUUCUAUGUCUACAAUACUCUGCACGGAGCUACUUUAGCUAAUUGCUCCCACUUUCAAUAUGUUUCUAGAUCGAGACUUAGAGUCAUCUAGAUCGGUGUCAAAGCUUCCAUCGAUGUAACUCUUUACGACGAACUCUUUGUCACCUCCAUAACCGAGAAACAUUUCCUUAUUCCACUAAGGAUAAUUUUGACUGCUGUCUAGUGAUCUACUCCUAGAUCACUAUUGUACUCCCUUGCUAAACUUAGUGUAGGGUAUACAAUAUAUCUGGUACAUAGCAUGGCAUACUUUAUGGAACCUAUGGUUGAGGCAUAGGGAAUGACUUUCAUUCUCUUUCUAUCUUCUGCCGUGGUCGGGCUUUGAGUCUUACUCAAUUUCACACCUUGUAACACAGGUAAGGACUCUUUCUUUGACUGUUCCAUUUUGGACUACUUCAAAAUCUUGUCAAGGUUUGUACUCAUUGAAAAAAUUUAUCAAGCGUCUUGAUCUAUCUCUAUAGAUCUUGAUGCUCAAUAUGUAAGAAACUUUAUCGAGGUCUUUCUUUGAAAAAACUCCUUUCAAACACUCCUUUAUGCUUUCUAGAAAAUUCUACAUUAUUUCCGAUCAACAAUGUCAUUCACAUAUACUUAUCAGAAAUGUUGUAGUGCUCCCACUCACUUUCUUGUAAAUACAGGCUUCAUCGCAAGUCUGUAUAAAACUCUAUGCUUUGAUCACACUAUCAAAACAUUUAUUCCAACUCCGAGAGGCUUGCACCAGUCCAUAAAUGGAUCGCUGGAGCUUGCACACUUUGUUAGCUCCCUUUGGAUCGACAAAACCUUCUGGUUGCAUCAUAUACAACUCUUCUUCUAGAAAUCCAUUCAGGAAUGCAGUUUUUACAUCCAUUUGCCAAAUUUCAUAAUCAUAAAAUGCAGCAAUUGCUAACAUGAUUCAGACAGACUUAAGCAUCGCUGCGGGUGAGAAAGUCUCAUCGUAGUCAACCCCUUGAACUUGUCAAAAACCUUUCGCAACAAGUCGAGCUUUGUAGACAGUAACAUUACCAUCAGCGUCAGUCUUCUUCUUGAAGAUCCAUUUAUUCUCUAUGGAUUGCCGAUCAUCAGGCAAGUCAACCAAAGUCCACACUUUGUUCUCAUACAUGGAUCCCAUCUCAGAUUUCAUGGCCUCAAGCCAUUUUGCAGAAUCUAGGCUCACCAUCGCUUCUUCAUAGUUCGUAGGUUUGCCUUGGUCAAGUAACAUGACCUCCAGAAUAGGAUUACCGUACCACUUUGGUGCAGAUCUUAUUCUGGUUGACCUACGAGGUUCGGUAGUAACUUGAUCUGAAGUUUCAUUAUCAACAUCAUUAGCUUCCUCACUAAUCGGUGCAGGUGUCACAGGAACUGGUUUCUGUGAUGAACUACUUUCCAAUAAGGGAGCAGGUACAGUUACCUCAUCAAGUUCUACUUUCCUCCCACUCACUUCUUUUGAGAGAAACUCCUUCUCUAGAAAGGAUCCAUUCUUAGCAAUGAAUGUUUUGCCUUCGGAUCUGUGAUAGAAGGUGUACCCAACAGUUUCCUUUGGGUAUCCUAUGAAGACACAUUUCUCCGAUUUGGGUUCGAGCUUAUCAGGUUGAAGCUUUUUCACAUAAGCAUCGCAACCCCAAACUUUAAGAAACGACAACUUUGGUUUCUUGCCAAACCACAGUUCAUAUGGUGUCGUCUCAACGGAUUUAGAUGGUGCCCCUUUUAACGUGAAUGCAGCUGUCUCUAAUGCAUAACCCCAAAACAAUAGUGGUAAAUCGGUAAGAAACAUCAUAGAUUGCACUAUAUCCAAUAAAGUACGGUUAUGACAUUCGGACACACCAUUAUGCUGUGGUGUUCCAGGUGGUGCGAAUUUGUGAAACUAUUCCACAUUGUUUUAAUUGAAGACCAAACUUGUAACUCAAAUAUUUUUGUCUCCGCGAUCAGAUCGUAGAAACUUUAUUUUCUUGUCACGAUGAUUUUCCACUUCACUAUGUAAUUCUUUGAACUUUUCAAAUGUUUCAGACUUAUGUUUCAUCAAGUAGAUAUACUCAUAUUUGCUCAAAUCAUCUGUGAAGGUCAGAAAAUAACGAUACCCGCCGCGAGCCUCAACACUCAUCGGACCGCAUACAUCAGUAUGUAUUAUUUCCAAUAAGUCAGUUGCUCGCUCCAUUGUUCCGGAGAACGGAGUUUUAGUCAUCUUGCCCAUGAGGCAUGGUUCGCAAGCAUCAAGUGAUUCAUAAUCAAGUGAUUCCAAAAUCCCAUCAGCAUGGAGUUUCUUCAUGCGCUUUACACCAAUAUGACCUAAACGGCAGUGCCACAAAUAAGUUGCACUAUCAUUAUUAACUUUGCAUCUUUUGGUUUCAAUAUUAUGAAUAUGUGUAUCACUACAAUUGAGAUCCAACAAACCAUUUUCAUUGGGUGUAUGACCAUAGAAGGUUUUAUUCAUGUAAACAUAACAACAAUUAUUCUCUAAUUUAAAUGAAUAACCGUAUUGCAAUAAACAUGAUCAAAUCAUAUUCAUGCUCAACGCAAACACCAAAUAACAUUUAUUUAGGUUCAACACUAAUCCCGAAAGUAUAGGGAGCGUGCGAUGAUGAUCAUAUCAUUCUUGGAACUGCUUCCAACACACAUCAUCACUUCACCCUUAACUAGUUUCUGUUCAUUCUGUAACUCCCGUUUCGAGUUACUACUCUUAGCAACUGAACUAGUAUCAAAUACCGCGGGGUUGUUAUAAACACUAGUAAAGUAUACAUCAAUAACAUGUAUAUCAAAUAUAGCUUUGUUCACUUUACCAUCCUUUUUAUCCACCAAGUAUCCAGGGUAGUUCCACUUCCAGUGACCAUUUCCAUUGCAGUAGAAGCACUCAGUCUCAGGCUUAGGUCCAGACUUGGGCUUCUUCACUUGAGCAACAACUUGCUUGUCGUUCUUCUUGAAGUUCCCCUUUCUAUCCCUUUGCCCUUUUCUUGAAACUAGUGGUAUUGUUAACCAUCAACACUUGAUGCUCUUUCUUGAUUUCUACCUUCGUCGAUUUCAGCAUCGCGAAGAGCUCGGGAAUUAGUUUCGUCAUCCCUUGCAUAUUAUAGUUCAUCACUAAGUUCUAUAACUUGGUGAUAGUGACUAGAGAACUUUGUCAAUUACUAUCUUAUCUGGAAGAUUAACUCCCACUUGAUUCAAGCAAUUGUAGUACCCAGACAAUCUGAGCACAUGCUCACUGGUUGAGCAAUUCUCCUUCAUCUUGUAGGCAAAGUACUAUCAGAGGUCUCAUACCUCUCGACACGGGCAUGAGUAUGAAAUACUAAUUUCAACUCUUAGAACAUCUUAUAUGCUCCGUGGCGUUCAAAACGUUUUUGAAAUCACAGUUCUAAGCCGUAAAGAAUGGUGCACUAAACUAUCAAGUAGUCAUCAUACCGAGCUUUGUCAAACGUUCAUAAACGUCUGUAUAUGCUCCUGCAAUAGGUUCGUGUAGGAUCGAAAGUAUGUCUAGAGGGGGGUGAUUAGACUACUUGACCAAAUAAAACUUAUCCUUUUCCCAAUUUUAGUUCUUGGCAGAUUUUAACAACUUUGGACAAGUCAAGCAAUCUUAACACAAUUCAAGCAAGCAUGCAAAGAGUAUAUGAGCAGCGGAAAGUAAAGCAUGCAACUUGCAAGAAUGUAAAGGGAAGAGUUUGGAGGAUUCAAACGCAAUAGGAGACAUGGAUGUUUUUGUCGUGGUUCCUAUAGGUGGUGCUAUCGUACAUCCACGUUGAUGGAGACUUCAACCCACGAAGGGUAAUGGUUGCGCGAGUCCACGGAGGGCUCCACCCACGAAGGGUCCACGAAGAAGCAACCUUGUCUAUCCCACCAUGGCCGUCGCCCACGAAGGACUUGCCUCACUAGUGGUAGAUCUUCACGAAGUAGGCGAUCUCCUUGCCCUUACAAACUCCUUGGUUCAACUCCACAAUCUUGUCGGAGGCUCCCAAGUGACACCUAGCCAAUCUAGGAGACACCACUCUCCAAGAAGUAACAAAUGGUGUGUUGAUGAUGAACUCCUUGCUCUUGUGCUUCAAAUGAUAGUCUCCCCAACACUCAACUCUCUCUCACACAGGAUAUGAAUUUGGUGGAAAGAAGAUUUGAGUGAAAAGCAACUUGGGGAAGGCUAGAGAUCAAGAUUCAUAUGGUAAGAAUGGAAUAUCUUGGCCUCAACACAAGUGUAGGUGGUUCUCUCUCAGAAAAAGGUAAGUUGGAAGUGUAGGUCCAUUCUGAUGGCUCUCUCCACAAAUGAAGAGGAGGUGGAGGGGUAUAUAUAGCCUCCACACAAAAUCUAACCGUUACACACAACUUGCCAAUCUUGGUGGGAUCGAAUUGAUAAACUCGGUCGGACUGAUUCAGCAAAUCUAGUGACCGUUAGGAUUUUCGGUGGGACCGACAUGCAACUCGAUAGGACUGAUAUGGUUAGGGUUAGGGCAUAACGUAAUCUCGGUGAGACCGAUUACACAAACUCGGUGAUACCGAUUUUGGUAAUAAACUAACCAGAGAGUUGAACAGGUAAACUCGGUGGAACCAAUUCGCUCAUUUCGGUGAGACCGAAAUGUUACGAAAGGGAAAUAGAGAGUUUACAUUGCAAUCUCGGUGGGACCGAUCGCUCAUCUCGGUGGGACCGAAAUUUUACAAAGGGAAACAGAGAGAUUACAAUCCCAUCUCGGUGAGACCGAGAUCCCUAUCGGUGAGACCGAUUUGCCUAGGGUUUGUAGCAGUGGCUAUGACAUCUGAACUCGGUGGCGCCGGAUAGAAAGAAUCGGUGGGGCCGAGUUUGACUUUUGGUUUAGGUCAUAUGUGGAUGUGAGAAAGUAGUUGAGGGCUUUGGAGCAUAUCACUAAGCAUUUUGAGCAAGAGCCUCAUUAAGCAACACCUCAUCCCUCCUUGAUAGUAUUGGCUUUCCUAUAGACUCAAUGUGAUCUUGGAUCACUAAAAUAGAAAAUGUAGAGUCUUGAGCUUUGAGCUUGAGCUAAUCCUUUUGUCCUUAGCAUUUUGAGGGGUCCACUUUUCUCAUCCAUGCCAUGCCAAUCAUUGAGCUUUCCCGAAAUAUUAAUCUUGAAAUAGCAUUAGCUCAAUGAGCUAUAUGUUGUUAGGAAUUACCAAAACCACCUAGGGAUAGUUGCACUUUCAGUCUCCCCCUUUUUGGUAAUUGAUGGCAACAUAUAGAUCAAAGCUUCGACAAAUGAUAAUAAGAAUGGAAAACAUUGUCGCUUUGAGAAGUAUGUGAAAAGCAAGAGCUCCCCCUAAAUUUGUGCAUAGUUUAAGAUUUGCUUUGGACUGCAGAUGCACAAUGAGUUAGGAUCAUGGGUUACUCUUCCAUGUCACAUACAUCUUGGUGGAGCGCUCAAAAUGAUAAUAAUUAAAUACAUGCACUCAUCACCAAGCAAAGUGAAUGAUCAUAUGGGGAUAUAAAAGGAUAAUGUCAUCCAACAAGCAUUAAGGUAGCAUAUGAUCAAACACAUGAUCAUCCAAGUAUCACACAAAAGCAUAAAGUAUCUCAAACAAGCAAAUAACAAAGUUCAACCACCAAAAAAACAAGAGAGAACAAAGAGCAACACUCUCUCUCGAAGCCUAUGAUCUAUACAUUUUCUCCCCCUUUGGCAACAAGUUACCAAAAAGUUCAUAAAAAAUGCAUAGUGCUAGAUCGACUCUCAGGUUUGGUCUUCAGGUGGUGGUGUAGAUAAGACUCCAAGGACGAAGGCAUCAGUUGAUGUAGAUGGAGCUGGUGGAGUGGGUGCUGGAGCUAGUGGCACUGAAGUUGUAGCUGGUGUAGAUGAAGUUUCUCUGGUGUCUGUAACUGUCACUACAACAGAUCUCUGUCCUCUGGGCACUCUAGCAAAAGCAUUAGUGGUAGACUUGCCCUUCUUCUCCUGCACUUCAUCCUAAAGUUGCUCAACAACUGACUGUAUCUCAGUGACCUUCACAUCUAAAUCAUAGAACUUCUCCUCCAUGAUCCUCUCCAAGCUCUCCUGGUUUUGAGUCAGGGUGGCCAAUCCCUUCUCAAUCCUCAGAGUGGAGGCAAUCAAGUAGCCAAGCUGAUCUUGCUUGCUCUUCAGAAGAUACUGAGAUGCCUCAUCAAUGGUUGGCAUCUUUGCAGCCUUUUCAGUCCUUGCCUUCUCCCUCUUUGCUUGUGCUUGCAUAGAAGAUGGUUCAUUCUCAUCCAUUACCACAGUGUUGUCUUCAAAGUCUGGGUAGAUGGGCAUAUGUUCCUUGUCCAAGAGAUAUGUGCCAGUGCCCAUCUUGGAGUUGAUUAGCUCCUGGAUUUGUGGGGCAUACCCUCAACUUCUCUUCUGAUCUGCAACUGUUCUCUUUAUAGUUUCCACAAUUAGGCUCAUGACUUUUGAACUUUUGAGGCACAUCAAAUAUGUGAAGGAGGUUAAUUGCAUGGCCUCUGAUCAUCUUGUGAUCACCUGACUUUGGCAAUAGAGUGUGCCUGAGGAUCCAGUUGAUUGUUGGCAAACCUGACAGAAGGUAAUGUACUGAUCCAAAUUUGUGUGUCUCAAGAGCAGCAUCUGGGAUCUCUUUGUACAUAUGUGCCAUGGUGUUGUGAUUCUUCUUCUUCUUGGCAUAGACAUCCAAGUCAUCUUCAUUCUCCUCAAGAGCAUUGAUCAAUUUUGCCCAUUCUUCAACUGUUGACUGAUACCUAGUACCUUCAGACAUCCAGACAAUCCUUCCAUCUGGGUAGAAAUGAGUUGUGGAGUAGAACUGCAUAAUAAGCUCAUCAUUCCACUUUGUGAGCUUCUGCCCAACAAAGUCCUCUACUCCACAAGACUUGAAACUAGCAUAGACUCCAGGAUAGUGUUCUUCAUUUUCCCUGAUGUACUCCCAGUCCACCCAUCUCAUAUCACAGACUAUAGGCUUCUUGUCAAGCAACACUGUCUCAUAGAAGUCCUGUUGUUCCUUUGUAUGGAACCUGUAGUCCACAACAGUUCUUCUCCUGACUGUAUAGGGAUCAGUCAAUCUCCACUGCCUGAGUCCUGCACCCUUCCUGAGCUUCAUGUCCUCAGCUACUGGAUGAGCAUCAUUGUGAUCUGGAAUUUUGGGCUUCAACUUCCUCAAGACAUGUGACUCAUCAUCAUCUUCUUCUAUAGCAGCUUCAGGCACUGGGGCCUUGUUCUUCUCUGCAGCUGGAAUAUUCCUUGUACUCCUCUUGGGUGCAGCUUUGGAUUUUGGAGCAGCUGCCUUGGGAGCUUAUUUGGUCUUAGAUGGAGCAGCAGUUGUGCCAUAUUCCUUUUUCAGAACUUUCUUCUUUGAGGUGGCCUCUUCCUCAACAGCCACAUAGUCCUCAUCCUUAGAAUCUGAGGUUCUCUUCUUUCUGGCCCUGGUGGCUGCCUUAGGCAAGUUGCUGGGUGUACUCCUGCUUCCCUCAUCAUAACUGCUAGAGGGACUAGUGCCCUCACUCAUGUGAACUUGCUCCUCAGACUUGUUCUAACUGUCACUCUGAUCUGACAUGAUGCAAACACUGACAGCAGACCCUGUGAAUAGAUAUAGAUGAGAUAGAUUGGAUGAGCAUCACAAAGUACAAAGGUUUUUGCAAAAGAAUGAGUUAAAAACUUAGUUUUAGUUUUCCAGAGAAAGCAUUUCGGAUCUAUCGAUUUGAAAACUCGGUGAUACUGAAGCAGCUUUUGGACCUAAACUAGUGAACUCGGUCAGACCGAGUCACAGUUCGGUGGCACCGAGACUGCUAGGGUUUCACAAAGAAUUGAACUCGGUCACACCGAUUUGCAAUUCUCGGUCAGACCAAGAAUCACAUGUGCAAUGGCCUUAGCCAAACCUUAGCCUAAACCCUAAACCCUAAACCCUAAACCCUAAACCCUAAACCCUAAACCCUUAGCCAAACCGGUGGAACUGAUUUCAACAACUCGGUUGGUCCGAGAUGAUUUCGGCGGAAACCUAACCCUAAAUUUUCAAUCCACAACUAAACUACAGAGUGAUUUCGCUGGAUAGAGUGAUCUCAAUCGUGGCAAGAUACAUGGCAAAACAAUGUGCUAGGAAUCGGAGUGAGAUUAGCACAAGGAUCAAGUCCAUACCCUAGGUGCGGCGAUGGACCUGCUACGGCGGCAACGGUAGAGACCAGCGGCGGGAGGCAGCUGGUGAUGAGGAGGACGAUCCGGAGACCAGGGAGGCAGAGCAGGCUGAGCGCGGGCGAAGGGGUUCAAAGAAUUUUCCAGAAUAUAUAUAGCCUGACCUUGUCGGUAUGACCGAGUGGAACAACUCGGUGGCACCGAGAUGCAUAACUGCAAGCAGUUACUGCAACUCGGUGUGACCGAAAAGUUCAAAUCGGUUGCACCGAGAUUGAAAACCUAGAUCAACUUAGUGAUCUCGGUAUGACCAAAAUGGAUGAAUCGGUCAGACCGAAAUGCACAAAGAAGUUUUGGAAGUUUAAGUCUAUGAUGAAUCGGGGACUCCGAGUGCUCCUCACACAGAGUGGUUCGAAUCUGACUUGAUCAAACUUUGUGAUGUGGCAUGAAUAGAGUUUGAGACGAGAAAAGCAUAGAUAGCUAGAGAAGGUUCUUAGGCAUUUUUGUCCAUCCACUUGGCAAAAGAAAAAGGAACCAAACAAUCAAAACAACAAGUGGAUGUCCUCGAAUGAGUAAAUUAUGCAACCAACAUGCUCACACAAUAAAAUGGCAAAUGAAAUAUGUGGCAAAGCAUGCACAGCCAAUUCUAGCAUCUAUCAAGCAAUUAGCGAUGACUAGGUCAUCUAUAUAUGAGUAUAUUGACUUAGGAGUCAAAUGAGAACAUUUGAUCAUAGGUCAUACUCAUCGUUUAAGCACAAGUGGGGUUACCACUUUUACAUAAAGCAUUGUUGUGUUCACACCAUUAGAGUUGCUUUAGCUCAAUUCUUAGAGUAAAGCCCCCCCUAGAUGUGAGAUCCCCCCUAAGAGGGAUGAACUAACCUUGGGUUUUGUCGAUGAUGACUUCAUGUAGGUGUUGAAGAUGUGGAUGCUCAAUGUUGAUGUAGAUCAUUUGGAGCAAUCCUUUGGAGUGAGUUGCACUUUCAAUACCUACACGGGUUAGUCCCACAAGGAACAAACAAGGAUAUCCAUAGACAUAGAGUGAUGCACACACAAGAUGAUGUCUACGAUAGCAUUAGGUUACCUUGUCCCUUGUCUUGCCAACAAGAGGGUUUGUGACUCCUUGAACUAGUGCAAGAUGUGGAAGUUGAUUGCACUUGUUCUUGCCAAAAUGAUAAGAGUGAAGUAUGUUGGCGGAGUCACCCUCAAGAACUCUUUAGUUCUUCUUCUUCUGGAUCCACAUCAUCUUGAUGGGAAUCCUUGGAGUUGUAGUCGUACUUGAUGAAGUAGAACUUGAUGUAGUCUUGGGAACCCACUUGACCAAGGCCUUGGGUGCUUCUUCAAAUGCAUCAAUUUCCUCUUGAAGCUUAUCCUUGCCUUUUUGCUCGUGGUCUUGUGGUGGAAGAUCAUCUUGAGCUUGUGUCCCUUUGAAGGAAGUAGGAUCAUACUUCUUUUGUUGAGGAACAAACUUAGUCUUGGGUUAUUGAUCUUCUUCCCACUCAACUCCAUUGGCAUUGAACUUUCGUUCAGAACCAACACCUUGGUUCUUCCGAUGCCUUCCUUGCUUGCAUACAAUUUCCUCGAAUUGCUUACUCCUGGCAAGGCUCUUGUAAACACCUUUCUCUAUAAUUCCCUUCAAUAAGCUAUUUUCUUGCUCAAGUGUAACUUGGCUAAGAGAAUCAUUAGUGGAAUCAAGAGAACUACUAGAAGCAACAACAUUGGAUUUAGCAUGAUUAUUGUUACUACUAGAGGAAGAAUCUUUCUUGUUCUUGUUACUAGACUUGACUUGAGGCAUGUAAGUGGAUAAGAGUAAAUGCUUGGCAAUGUAAGAAGAACUUUUCUUGCGAAGAUCAUCACUAAUUGCCUUUAAGAACUCAUGCGCUUGCUUAAGGUUGAGCUUUUCAAAACGUAAUUUCUCAUGAGUCCUUAAAAGUUCUCGAUGAUCUCCUAAGAUAGUUUCAUGAGAUAACUUAAGAGUGUUUAGUUCUUUAGUUAGAAACUCAAUCUUCUCCUUAUCAUUGUCAUUCGUUUUAUCUUGAUUAGCAUGAUUAAUUGAAGUUUCAUCAUAGUAUUCAUCACUAGAGUUGUCAACAAGUAAAUCAUCAUCACCUAACAAGUCAUCUUCAUCACUAUUGAAAUCAACAUACUCGGGGUGUGAUACCUUUGGGCCUUUAGCCAUGAAGCAUCUUCCAAGUCCUUCAUUUGGUGAAUCAAAUAUGUCGUAGGAGUUGGUUGACACAAGUGCUAGACCGGCAACACCUUCACUUGAGUAUAUUCGGAGUCGGACUGAUAGCUUCUCUUGGAGUGAUUGUCGGAGUCGGAGCCGGAUACCCAUUCCCCAACAUGAGCUUGAUGUCUUUGUUUUGUGUAGCUCCUUGAUGACUUGUCCUUCCUUUCCGAAUCCUUGCUUCUCCGGGAUGUUUUUCGUUCAUAACGAUCAUCUCUACUCCUCUCUCUUGAUGGUGAUUCUUCUCUUGUACUUCUUCUUUUUGGAGAAUCUUCUCUUCUCUUGUAGGGUGUCGUACACUCAUUGGAAUAGUGUUUGGGUCUUCCACAAUUGUAGCAAUUUCGCUCUCGACUAGAAGAUCAUUUGUCAUUGUAGGACCUUGACUUGGGACUUCUCUCGUUGCUUCUACUCUUAUAGAACUUGUUGAAGUUCUUCACCAUUAGGCUCAAUUCUUCAUUGAAGGUUUGUUUCUCACUUGAUGAUGUGGGAACUUCACAUGAGGCUUUGUAAGCACCACUUGACUUGUUAUGGAUCUCCUCCUUAUCCUUGAGUGACAUCUCAUGAGCAACAAUUCUUCCAAUGACUUCCGUUGGCUUGAGAUCUUUGUAAUUGGGCAUCAUUUGGAUCAAUGUGCAUACGAUAUCAUAUUUUCCGUCCAAAGCUCUUAGGAUCUUCUUGAUGAUGAAUUUGUCGGUCAUCUCUUCACUUCCUAAGCCGGCGAUCUCAUUUGUGAUAAGAGCAAGCCUAGAGUACAUUUCAGCGACACCUUCACCAUCCUUCAUUUUGAACUUGUCAAGAUGACUUUGAAGCACAUCCAACUUGGAUUCCUUGACGGAGUCGGUACCUUCAUGCAUAUCAAUCAAAGUAUCCCAAAUUUCCUUUGCAUUCUCAAGACGGCUGAUUUUGUUAAAUUCUUCGGGGCACAAUCCGUUGAAGAGGAUAUCACAAGCUUGAGCAUUAUAUUGCAGCAUCUUCAACUCUUCCGCGGUAGCUUCACGGUUCGGUUCUCUCACAUCAAAGAAUUCACCUUGCAAGCUGAUGUCUACUACACAACCUUCUUCUUGUAGACGUUGUUGGGCCUCCAAGUGCGGAGGUUUGUAGGACAGUAGCAAAUUUCCCUCAAGUGGAUGACCUAAGGUUUAUCAAUCCGUAGGAGGCGUAGGAUGAAGAUGGUCUCUCUCAAGCAACCCUGCAACCAAAUAACAAGGAGUCUCUUGUGUCCCCAACACACCCAAUACAAUGGUAAAUUGUAUAGGUGCACUAGUUCGGCGAAGAGAUGGUGAUACAAGUGGUAUAUGGAUAGUAGAUAAAGGUAUUUGUAAUCUGAAAUUAUAAAAACAGCAAGGUAACUAAUGAUAAAAGUGAGCGUAAACGGUAUUGCAAUGUGUUGAAACAAGGCCUAGGGUUCAUACUUUCGCUAGUGCAAGUUCCCUCAACAAUAAUAGCAUAAUUGGAUCACAUAACUAUCCCUCAACAUUCAACAAAGAGUCACUCCAAAGUUACUAAUAGCGGAGAACAAACGAAGAGAUUAUGGUAGGGUACGAAACCACCUCAAAGUUAUUCUUUCCAAUCAAUCCGUUGGGCUAUUCCUAUAAGUGUCACAAACAACCCUAGAGUUCAUACUAGAAUAACACCUUAAGACACAAAUCAACCAAAACCCUAAUGUCACCUAGAUACUCCAAUGUCACCUUAAGUAUCCGUGGGUAUGAUUAUAUGAUAUGCAUCACACAAUCUCAGAUUCAUCUAUUCAACCAACACAUAGGACCUCAAAGAGUGCCCCAAAGUUCUACCGGAGAAUCACGACGAAAACGUGUGCCAACCCCUAUGCAUAGGUUCAUGGGCGGAACCCGCAAGUUGAUCACCAAAACAUACAUCAAGUGAAUCACGUGAUAUCCCAUUGUCACCGCAGAUACGCACGACAAGACAUACAUCAAGUGUUCUCAAAUCUUUAAAGACUCAAUCCGAUAAGAUAAAUUCAAAGGGGAAACCCAAUCCAUUACAAGAGAGUAGAGGGGGAGAAGAAACAUAAGAUCUAACUAUAAUAGCAAAGCUCGUGAUACAUCAAGAUCGUACCACCUCAAGAACACGAGAGAGAGAGAGAGAUCAAACACAUAGCUACUGGUACAUACCCUCAGCCCCGAGUGAGAACUACUCCCUCCUCGUCAUGGAGAGCACCGGGAUGAUGAAUAUGGCCACCGGAGAGGGAUUGCCCCCUCCGGCAGGGUGCCGGAACGGGUCUAGAUUGGUUUUCGGUGGCUACGGAAACUUCUGGCGGCGGAACUCCUAAUCUAUUGUGCUCUCGGAUGUUUUUAGGGUAUAUGAAGAUAUAUAGGCGGAAGAAGUACGCCAGGAGGGCCACGAGGGGCCCACGAGGGUGGAGGGCGCGCCCAGGGGGGUGGGCGCCCCCUACCUCGUGGCCUCCUCGAAGCUUCCCUUACGUGCACUUCAAGUCUUCUGGGCUUCUAUCCUUCCAAAAAUGGGUUCUGUGAAGUUUCGGGUCAAUUGGACUCCGUUUGUUUUUCCUUUUCUUAAAACCCUAAAACAAGGUAAAAACAGAAACUGGCACUUGGCUCUGGGUUAAUAGGUUAGUCCCAAAAAAUGAUAUAAAAGUGUAUAAUAAAGCCCAUAGACAUCCAAAACAGUAGAUAAUAUAGCAUGGAGCAAUCAAAAAUUAUAGAUACGUUGGAGACGUAUCAGCAUCCCCAAGCUUAAUUUCUGCUCGUACUCGAGUAGGUAAAUGAUAAAAAGAGAAUUUUUGAUGCGGAGUGCUACUUGGCAUAAUUUCAGUGUAAUUCUUCUUAAUUGUGACAUGAAUAUUCAGAUCCAUAAGAUUCAAGACAAAAGUUUAAUAUUGACAUAAAAAUGAUAAUACUUCAAGCAUACUAACUAAGCAAUUAUGUCUUCUCAAAAUAACAUGGCCAAAGAAAGUUCAUCCCUACAAAAUCAUAUAGUUUAGUCAUGCUCCAUUUUCGUCACACAAGAAUGCUCUCAUCAUGAACAACCUCAAUGACAAGCCAAGCAAUUGUUUCAUACUUUAGUGAUCUCAAACCUAUAAACUUUCACGCAAUACAUGAGUGCGAGCCAUGGAUAUAACACUAUGGGUGGAAUAGAAUAAUGAGGGGGUUAUGUGAAGAAGACAAAAAGGAGAAAGUCUCACAUCAACGAGGCUAAUCAAUGAGCUAUGGAGAUGCCCAUCGAUUGAUGUUAAUGUAAGGAGUAGGGAUUGUCAUGCAACGGAUGCACUAGAGCUAUAAAUGUACGAAAGCUCAACAAAAGAAACUAAGUGGGUGUGCAUCCAAGUUGCUUGCUCACGAAGACCUAGGGCACUUGAGGAGGCCCAUUGUUGGAAUAUACAAGCUAAGUUCUAUAAUGAAAAUUCCCACUAGUAUAUGAAAGUUACAAAACAAGAGACUCUCUAUCAUGAGGAUUAUGGUGCUACUUUGAAGCACAAGUGUGGCAAAGGAUAGUAGCAUUGUCGCUUCUCUCUGUUUCUCUCAUUAUUUUUUAUUUGGCCUUUCUUUUUUAUGGCCUUUCUCUUUUCUCUUUUUUUGGGCCUUCUCUUUUUUAUGGCCUUUCUCUUUUUUUUUAUAAUUCCUCACUUGGGACAAUGCUCUAGAAAAUGAUGAUCGUCACACUUCUAUUUAUUUACAACUCAAUGAUUACAACUCGAUACUAGAACAAGAUAUGACUCUAUAUGAAUGCCUCCGGCGGUGUGCCAGGAUUGCAUUGAAUCAAGUGUGACAUGUAUGGAAAAUUAUGAACGAUGGCUUUGCCACAAAUACGAUGUCAACUACAUGAUCAUGCAAAGCAAUAUGACAAUGAUGAAUGUGUCAUGAUAAACUGAAUGGUGGAAAGUUGCAUGGCAAUAUAUCUCGGAAUGGCUAUGGAAAUGCCAUAAUAGGUAGGUAUGGUGGCUGUUUUGAGGAAGAUAUAAGGAGAUUUAUGUGUGAUAGAGCGUAUCAUAUCACGGGGUUUGGAUGCAUCGGCGAAGUUUGCGCCAACUCUCAAUGUGAGAAAGGGCAAUGCGCGGUACCGAAGAGGCUAGCAAGGAUGGAAGGAUGAGAGUGCGUAUAAUCCAUGGACUCAACAUUAGUCAUAAAGAACUCACAUACUUAUUGCAAAAAUCCACAAGUCAUCAAAAACCUCGGCACUACGCGCAUGCUCCUAGGGGGAUAGAUUGGUAGGAAAAGACCAGCGCUCGUCCCCGACCGCCACUCAUAAGGAAGACAAUCAAAUAACACCUCAUGUUUCAAAUUUGUUACAUAACGUUUACCAUGCGUGCAUGCUACGGGACUUGCAAACUUCAACACAAGCAUUUCUCAAAUUCACAACUACUCAACUAGCAUGACUUUGAUAUUAUUACCUCCAUAUCUCAAAACAAUCAUCAAGCAUCAAACUUUUCUUAGUAUUCAACACACUCAUAAGAAAGUUUUUGUUUUCAAUCCAUUAUAAGAGAGUAGAGGGGGAGAAGAAACAUAAGAUCCAACUAUAAUAGCAAAGCUCGCGAUACAUCAAGAUCGUACCACCUCAAGAACACGAGAGAGAGAUCAAACACAUAGCUACUGGUAUACAUACCCUCAGCCCUGAGGGAGAACUACUCCCUCCUCGCCAUGGAGAGCACCGAGAUGAUGAAGAUGGCCACCGGAGAGGGAUUGCCCCCCUCCGGCAGGGUGCCGGAAUGGGUCUAGAUUGGUUUUCGGUGGCUACAGAGACUUCUGGCGGCGAAACUCCCGAUCUAUUGUGCUCUCGGAUGUUUUUAGGGUACAUGGAGAUAUAUAGGCGGAAGAAGUACGUCAGGGGGCCCACGAGGGGCCCACGAGGGUGGAGGGCGCGCCUAGGGGGGUGGUUGUGCCCCCUACCACGUGGCCUCCUCGAAGCUUCCCUUACGUGCACUUCAAGUCUUCUGGGCUUCUUUCCUUCCAAAAAUGGGUUCCGUGAAGUUUCAGGUCAAUUGGAUUCCGUUUGGUUUUCCUUUUCUUCGAAACCCUAAAACAAGGUAAAAAUAGAAACUGGCACUGGGCUCUGGGUUAAUAGGUUAGUCCCAAAAAAUGAUAUAAAAGUGUAUAAUAAGCCCAUAAACAUCCAAAACAAUAGAUAAUAUAGCAUGGAGCAAUCAAAAAUUAUAGAUACGUUGGAGACGUAUCACAAGCCAAUACACACAAUAGCCCAUACAGCGGGGUUAUGUCCAAGAAUAUGCAUUUUCAUCUUAUGCUUCAAACUAGCAAAAUUAGUACCAUCAAAAUAAGGACCUCUACAGUGGUAAUUUCCCUUGCUAGACACCAUACUCUCCUAGGUUGUGAAACCAAGGCUAUGACUACCAAAAGCUAUGGAAAUCAAAGCAAAUGGAGACCAAAGCUCUGAUACCACUUGUAGGAUCGAAAGUAUGUCUAGAGGGGGGUGAUUAGACUACUUGACCAAAUAAAACUUAUCCUUUUCCCAAUUUUAGUUCUUGGCAGAUUUUAGCAACUUUGGACAAGUUAAGCAAUCUUAACACAAUUCAAGCAAGCAUGCAAAGAGUAUAUGAGCAGCAAAAGUAAAGCAUGCAACUUGCAAGAAUGUAAAGGGAAGGGUUUGGAGGAUUCAAACACAAUAGGAUACACAGAUGUUUUUGUCGUGGUUCCGAUAGGUGGUGCUAUCGUACAUCCAGUUGAUGGAGACUUCAACCCACGAAGGGUAACGGUUGCGCGAGUCCACGGAGUUCUCCACCCACGAAGGGUCCAUGAAGAAGCAACCUUGUCUAUCCCACCAUGGUCGUCGCCCACGAAGGACUUGCCUCACUAGCGGUAGAUCUUCACGAAGUAGGCGAUCUCCUUGCCCUUACAAACUCCUUGGUUCAACUCCACAAUCUUGUCGGAGGCUCCCAAGUGACACCUAGCCAAUCUAGGAGACACCACUCUCCAAGAAGUAACAAAUGGUGUGUUGAUGAUGAACUCCUUGCUCUUGUGCUUCAAAUGAUAGUCUCCCCAACACUCAACUCUCUCUCACAGGAUAUGGAUUUGGUGGAAAGAAGAUUUGAGUGGAAAGCAACUUGGGGAAGGCUAGAGAUCAAGAUUCAUAUGGUAAGAAUGGAAUAUCUUGGCCUCAACACAAGUGUAGGUGGUUCUCUCUCAGAAAAAGGUAAGUUGGAAGUGUAGGUUCGUUCUGAUGGCUCUCUUCACGAAUGAAGAGGAGGUGGAGGGGUAUAUAUAGCCUCCACACAAAAUCUAACCGUUACACACAACUUGCCAAUCUCGGUGGGAUCGAAUUGAUAAACUUGGUCGGACCGAUUCAGCAAAUCUAGUGACCGUUAGGAUUUUCGGUGGGACUGACAUGCAACUCGGUAGGACUGAUAUGUUUAGGGUUAGGGCAUAACGUAAUCUCGGUGAGACCAAUUACACAAAAUCGGUGAGACCGAUUUUGGUAAUAAGCUAACUAGAGAGUUGGUCAGGUAAACUUGGUGGGACCGAUUCGCUCAUUUCGGUGAGACCGAAAUGUUACGAAAGGGAAACAUAGAGUUUACAUUGCAAUCUCGGUGGGACCGACCACUCAUCUCGGUGGGACCGAAACGUUACAAAGGGAAAUAUAGAGAUUACAAUCACAUCUCGGUGAGACCGAGAUCCCUAUCAGUGAGACCGAUUUGCCUAGGGUUUGUAGCAGUGGCUAUGACAUCUGAACUCGGUGGCGCCGGAUAGAAAGAAUCGGUGGGGCUGAGUUUGACUUUUGGUUUAGGUCAUAUGUGGAUGUGAGAAAGUAGUUGAGGGCUUUGGAGCAUAUCACUAAGCAUUUUGAGCAAGAGCCUCAUUAAGCAACACCUCAUCCCUCCUUGAUAGUAUUGGCUUUUCCUAUAGACUCAAUGUGAUCUUGGAUCACUAAAAUAGAAAAUGUAGAGUCUUGAGCUUUGAGCUUGAGCCAAUCCUUUUAUCCUUAGCAUUUUGAGGGGUCCACUUUUCUCGUCCAUGCCAUGCCAAUCAUUGAGCUUUCCUGAAAUAUUAAUCUUGAAAUAGCAUUAGCUCAAUGAGCUAUAUGUUGUUAGGAAUUACCAAAACCACAUAGGGAUAGUUGCACUUUCAGUCUGUCACCUAGCGGUGCAUCAAGGACAUAAUACUUCUGUGCAGCAAUGAGGAAAAUCCUCAGAUCACGGGCCAAGUCCGCAUUAUUGCUACUAUUAUAUUUCAACUUAUAUUUCUCUAGGAACAUAUAAAAAAUAACGGGGAGCUACAUUGCGAGCUAUUGAUCUACAACAUAGAUAUGCAAAUUGAUCUACAACAUAGAUAUGCUAAUACUACCAGGACUAAGUUCAUGAUAAAUUAAGGUUCAGUUAAUCAAAUUAUUAAAGAACUCCCACUUAGAUAGACAUCCCUCUAAUCAUCUAAGUGAUCACGUGAUCCAUAUCAACUAAACCAUGUCCGAUCAUCACGUGAGAUGGAGUAGUUUUCAAUGGUGAACAUCAAUAUGUUGAUCAUAUCUUCUAUAUGAUUCACGCUCGACCUUUCGGUCUCCAGUGUUCCGAGGCCAUAUCUGCAUAUGCUAGGCUCGUGAAGUUUAACCCGAGUAUUCUGCAUGUGCAAAACUGGCUUGCACCCGUUGUAUGUGAACGUAGAGCUUAUCACACCCGAUCAUCAUGUGGUGUCUCGGCACAAUGAACUUUCGCAACGGUGCAUACUCAGGGAGAACACUUGUACCUUGAAAUUUAGUGAGAGAUCAUCUUAUAAUGCUACCGUCGAUCUAAGCAAAAUAAGAUACAUAAAAGAUAAACAUCACAUGCAAUCAAUAUAAGUGAUAUGAUAUGACCAUCAUCAUCUUGUGCUUGUGAUCUCCAUCUCCAAAGCACCGUCAUGAUCACCAUCGUCACCGGCGCGACACCUUGAUCUCCAUCGUAGCAUCGUUGUCGUCUCGCCAACUAUUGCUUCUAUGACUAUCGCUACCGCUUAGUGAUAAAGUAAAGCAAUUACAGGGCGAUCGCAUUGCAUACAAUAAAGCGACAACCAUAUGGCUCCUGCUAGUUGUCGAUAACUCGGUUACAAAACAUGAUCAUCUCAUACAAUAAAAUAUAGCAUCAUGUCUUGACCAUAUCACAUCACAACAUGCCUUGCAAAAACAAGUUAGACAUCCUCUACUUUGUUGUUGCAAGUUUUACGUGGCUGCUACGGGCUUCUAGCAAGAACCGUUCUUACCUACGCAUCAAAACGACAACGUGGUAUAGUGAUUGCUUUUUGAUCUUCAGAAAGAACCCUCUUCAUUGAAACCGGUUCAACUAAAGUUGGAGAAACAGACACCCACUAGCCACCUGUGUGCGAAGCACGUCGGUAGAACCAGUCUCGCGUAAGCAUACGCGUAAUGUCGGUCUGAGCCGCUUCAUCCAACAAUGCCGCUAAACCAAGUAACAACUAGUAACGGCAAGCAAUAUGUAUAUACACACGCCCACGACUCCUUUGUGUUCUACUCGUGCAAAUAACAUCUACGCAUAAACCUGGCUCGGAUGCCACUGUUGGGGAACGUACUAAUUUCAAAAAAAAUCCUACGCACACGCAAGAUCAUGGUGAUGCAUAGCAAGGAGAGGGGAGAGUAUGUCUACGUACCCUCGUAGACCAAAAGCGGAAGCGUUUAUCAACGCGGUUGAUGUAGUCGUACACCUUCACGAUCUGUCCCGAUCAAGUACCGAACGUACGACACCUCCGCGUUCAGCACACGUUCAGCUCGAUGACGUCCUCGCCUUCUUGAUCCAGCAAGAGGGGCGAAGUAGUAGAUGAGUUCCGGUAGCACGACGGUGUGAUGAUGGUGUUGGUGAAGAACAAUUUCCGUAGGGCUUCACCUAAGCACUACAAAAACUAUGAUGGAGGAUAAACUAGAGGGGACGGGGUUGCCGGCAAAUGGAUUGGUGUUUCUUAAUGUGUCUUAGGUGCUAGCCUGUAACGCCCCGGACACACCCGCCGGUGGCCGUUACUCCUGGCGGGAUCUAGACUGGCCCCAUAGAUCAAUACUAGUCUUUUUCUGCGCACUUUGUCCUCACUCAUGCGCACCCGGGAGCAACUUCCCGGUCGGUCACCCAUCCUGACACUACUCCAAGCUGAGCACGCUUAACUUUGGAGUUCUAUCUGAAUGGGCUCCCGGAAAAGAAGGAAUUCCUUAUUGAUAUGAGUAGUCCAUCAUCCCUAAUAAGCCAGGCCAUCACAUACACCCCCACUCAGAGGAACCGACGUCCUCGUCGGGCCACAGGAACGUUCCCUCUUGGCACAUACGUCUGUGCUUACAGUCCAAUACAUGUACCAUGCCGUGUGCCACGACGGGUCACAAACGUCAUGAACAACAUGACCACACACCUGUCCGCAACCAUCCGUGUAACCGCGAGGGUCGGCUCUGAUACCAACUUGUAACGCUCCGGACACACCCGCUGGUGGCCGUUACUCCUGGCGGGAUCUAGACUGGCCCCAUAGAUCAAUACUAGUCUUUUUCUGCGCACUUUGUCCUCACUCAUGCGCACCCGGGAGCAACUUCCCGGUCGGUCACCCAUCCUGACACUACUCCAAGCUGAGCACGCUUAACUUUGGAGUUCUGUCCGAAUGGGCUCCCGGAAAAGAAGGAAUUCCUUAUUGAUAUGAGUAGUCUAUCAUCCCUAAUAAGCCAGGCCAUCACAUAAUAUUGUAGUGCUCUAUCCAUCCAUGCCUUUGUUUGCAAUUGUGGAGCACCCUAGCUUGAGUCAAUCGAGCUCUACUUUUGCUACUUUGUGAAUCUGGGCAGAUUGUCAACUUGUUUGCAAUUUUGCCGGUGAUGUUGUAGUUGAUCCGUGCAUGCUAUGCUGUUGUUCUUGCCAUGUCUAGCUUGCAUUUUGUGCCUUCUUGAUGGAGGUAUGCUUGUCUUGCCAUGACUUGCACUGUAGUGAGUGCAUCGAGCUCGUAAACAUGCCUACUUGAGUUAUAUUUCAGCUUGUGUCAGUUUUCACUAAGUCUGAAAACUGAUUAUGUUUUUGCUAUGUUCACAUGCUUGCAAUUGUAUUUUCUGAUCCCUUUUAGCUCAAGGUCACUAAGGAACUUUUGUUAAGCUCUUUGAGUAGCUCCAUGCCAUGCUUUACUUUGUCAUGUUCAGGUCCUGUAGCAUGUAGUUUUGUUGCUCCGAAGAGGGUUACCUGGUCUGAACUUCCAGACAAGUGUUAAUUUCACUAAGUCUGAGAACUGUUUGUCAUAUGCAUUUUUGCCAUGCUUGUUUGAACCUAUUAAUGGAUGAUUUGGCCAUAGCUCAGUGCUAGACUUUUGUUAAGCAUCUUGUGUGCAUCCCUGCCAUGUAUUUUGUUGUCAUAUUUGGUGGCUGUAGCAUGUUCAUUGCGUUGCAUUUAGAUGCCUACUUGCUGUAAAUUGCAGACCGGUGUCAUUUUUAAAUCGCUUGCCAUUUCCAAACCGUAACUCCGAUUCCGGCGUUCUUUAUAUUGUUUUCAAGCGAUUUCAUCUCAUCUUUCCAGUGGCACACUUGGAUUUCCAAGUUGAGGCCAGGUUCAUGCAUUUCCUGUCAUAUCUUGCAUUUUGCAUCCCGCAUCGUAAUCCGCAUAGUAUAUCAUCAUUUCAUCAUAUUGCUUGGUCUUGCACGUGGUUGAUUGUAUCCUUGUUGCUUGUUUGUCUUGUUUGGGUAGAGCCGAGAGACGAGUUCACUAACGAGGAGCCCGUUGAGUUUGCUUUUGAGGAUCCAGUCAACUCUGACAACUGCGCAGGCAAGAUGACCAUACCCUCGAAAUCACUACUAUCUUUGCUAUGCUAGUUUGCUCGCUCUUUUGAUAUGCCAUUGCUACGAUGCCUACCAUUUGCUUGCAAGCCUCCCAAAAUGCCAUGUCAAACCUCUAACCCACCAUGUCCUAGCAAACCGUUGAUUGGCUAUGUUACCGCUUUGCUCAGCCCCUCUUAUAGCGUUACUAGUUGCAGGUGAAGAUCGGAGGCCGUUCCUUAUUGGAAUAUUUAUUUUCUUGUUGGGAUAUCAUCAUAUUAUCUUGCUAUCUUAAUGCAUCUAUACACUUGGUAAAGGGUGGAAGGCUCGGACACUCGCCUAGUGUUUUGUUCCACUCUUGCCGCCCUAGUUUCCGUCAUAUCGGUGUUAUGUUCCCGGAUUUUGCGUUCCUUACCGUUUGGGUUAUAAUGGGAACCCCUUGAUAGUUCGCCUUGAUUAAAUCUUUUCCAGCAAUACCGAACCUUGGUUUUACCAUUCGCCACCUAGCCUCUUUUUCCCUUGGGUUACCGGAGCCCAAAGGUCAUCUUAUUUUUAACCCCCCCGGGCCAGUGCUCCCUCUAAGUGUUGGUCCGAACUGAGCUGCCUGCGGGGCCACCUCGGGGAAACUUGAGGGUUGGUUUUACUCGUAGCUAGUCUCAUCUGAGUGUGCCCUGAGAAAGAGAUAUGUGCAGCUCCUAUCGGGAUUUGUCGGCACAUUCGGGCGGUGUUGCUGGUCUUGUUUUAACCUGUCGAAGUGUCUUAAGUAACCGAGAUACCGAGUCUGAUCGGAACGUCUUGGGAGGAGGUCUAUUCCUUCGUUGACCGUGAGAGCUUGUCAUGGGCUAAGUUGGGACUCCCCUGCAGGGAUUUGAACUUUCGAAAGCCGUGCCCGCGGUUAUGGGCAGAUGGGAAUUUGUUAAUGUCCGGUUGUAGAUAACUUGAACCUUAACUUAAUUAAAAUGAAUCAACUGAGUGUGUUACCGUGAUGGCCUCUUCUUGGCGGAGUCCGGGAAGUGGACAUGGUGUUGGAGUAAUGUUUGCGCAGGUUGUUCUCUAGUUUCUCGCUCGUGCUUUGCCUCCUCUUCUCGCUCUCUUUUGCGAAUAAGUUAGCCACCAUAUUUGCUAGUCACUUGCUGCAACUCCACCUAUAUUUACCUUGCCUUACCUACAAGCUUAAAUAGUCUUGAUAGCGAGGGUGUGAGAUUGCUGAGUCCCUGUGGCUCACAGAUUACUAUUACACCAGAUGCAGGGCCUGAUGAUUCCGCUCCAGGAGACGCGUAUGAGCUCAAGUGGGAGUUCGACGAAGACUCUCAACGUUACUAUGUUUCCUUUCCCAAUGAUCAGUAGUGGUUCCCAGUUGGGGGUGAACGGGACCGUUGUCGCAUGUUGGGUUCUCUUUUAUUUUGGCGCCGUAGUCGGGCCAUGAGUGUUUGGUUGAUGUAAUGUUAUUUAUGUACUUGUUUGACGUGGCGAGUGUAAGCCAACUAUGUUAUCUCCCC